rnacentral:lncRNA from 1 species
AAAGUUGAAAGUGAACAAAGGAUACAAAGGCGACCAUGGUUUUGAGUAUCAGCCCUUUACUACAAGGUCGGUUUAUAACAAAUGGACGCUUCCCUUCCAUUUGUUUCCCUUAUCAAUCAUGUGGGAAUAGAUCAACAAAUUGGAAUCUAAUAACAUGGCCAUGCACAAUAAAGGAAAAGGAUGAAAACAACGAUUCGAAUAAAGAGAACUCUAUACAUGGCACCUUCAUGUAAAAUGUUUCUCAUCAGUGGAUGUACGUAGUUAAGGCAACAUGAUAUUGUGAGUUGGGAAGCAUCCUUGUCGAGUAUCUCGAAACGACAAAAAAUUGGAAGAGACACGUCUCAGGCAAAUUCAUCAUAUAUUGCAUCACCUACAUAGAUGUUAAAAGUAGCAAAUCAUAGAACGUUGAGUGGGUUUAGAGGGUGUCCAAGGAAAAUGUUUGGGACCCCACCUCAACCAAUUUAAAGAAGGAGAGAGAGCAAAACACAAUGCCGCUUCAAAUACGAAAGUGCAUGGUCAAAUAAAAGCCAACAAAUUAAACACGGAAACUUCAAAUACCACUCCUCACUUUUCAUUUUAGUACUUUAUGUUUUAAAGUGUAUCAAUUUAGUACCAUGUGGUUUCGUACUUUCUCACUUUACUACCGUAUAGUUUAAAGUGCAUCAAUUUAGUACUCUGUAGUUUCAUUUUUUUUUUUCCGUCAGCUUCUUUGUUUAUCGAAUAUUUACUUUAGUACCGUUUAGUUUUAACUUUUUCACUUUUUUUCCCUCUGUUAAUAUUUUGUUAAAUUAUAUACAAAAAAACUUCAGAUACCUUACCUAGGUUUAUCGAAUAUUCACUUUAGUACCCUUUAAUUUUAACUUUGUCACUGAUUUAACAAAAAAAAAAUUAGUGAAAUGAAUAGUAAAAAAAGAAAAAUGAAGCCACAAGGUAUUAACUUGAUAUACUUUAAACCAACAUGGUACUAAAGUGAGAAAGUGCAAAACCACAUAGGCUAACUUGAUACGCUUUAAAUCACAUAAUACUAAAGUGAGAAAGUGUGAAAGAACGGGGGUAUUUUAAGUUUACCCAAUUAAAUAACCUCAAACGCGCUUCCAUUAAUUCUUUGAAACCCAAAGACUUGGCCCGAUUCGUUGGGCCCGAUUUUCUUCUUUGGGUUGGUUGUACCUAACCCGGUAAAGGGAGGUUGGGUCGGAUUUAAAAUCCGAAGCCCGGAAAUAUUCGCACUGAUUGAUCCGGUCCAACUUACUUUUCCAUCACCUGACUUGAUCCGACCUGACCUAGUUUGAUCAUUUCGUACCGAAUUUGAAAUCCAAAUUAAAUAAUAUUUUUCAAAAAUGACUUGGCUGGAUCGACUUCCGACUAGAAUUUUUAAAAUUAUAAAUUUUAAUAAUACAAACCAUUUAACGAUCCGUUUUUAAUAUCGAGAUUCAUCUAACGCUAACAGUUAAAAUAGAGUUUGGACAAAAAGAUAUGAAAAGUGCUUUUUGUAUUUUCUUAUUAUAUAUAUUUUUUUCUUCACGUAUUAUAAUCUUCUCAAUAUUCUCAAAAGGUACUUAAAAAAAAAUCCAAAACACGUCUAAAAUUUAAAAUUUUUUAAAAAAUCUAAUAGCAUUUUAGUUCAGGCUAGUCCCGGGUCUUCUGAUGUUUCGUGUAGAGCGCGGCCUCUUAUCCCUCUCAGCCCAAAAAUGACCAAAAUGUCAAAAAAUAAGAAAAGUUUGUUUCUAUUUUUCCAACAAUUCGAAAUAGUGAACCCAACAUUUCGCCUCCCUCUCAUCGUCUACACCCUCUUCUCCCUCCCGAUUCUGAAAACCUAUUUUCAAGUAAUCUUUUUGUUUGUUUUUGUUUGUUUGUUUAUUUUAUUUUAUUUUUUUUUCAUUCAUUGAAUGGAUGAAUUAAGCUACAGAGGUGCGCCAACCGGAGUCUCAAGAAAAGCAACAACAGAAGAGACUAGAGUAUUAGGAACUUAGUACUAUCGAUAAUAUAGUAGCUAAACUUCUCAUAAAUUAUAAUACAUGAAACAUAAUAUAGAUUUUUUUUUCUGCAUGUAUGGUAAUUUUUUUGGUAAACUUAAACAAUGCCUGAAAAGAAUAAAUUACGUCUAAAUUUGAAUUUUUUAAAAAAUAUUUGUAGCAUUGAGUUCAGAGUUCAGACUAGUUUGAGACUUUUGCGUAUUCUUACCGUCCCAACCAACCCAAAAAAAACAAAACAAAACAAAAACGAAAAAAAAAAAAAAUCUAUUUUUGCGGACAAAUUCGAAAAACGGACCGCGCGUUUCACCUCCCUCGCUUCUUCUACGCACUCUCGCUCCCUCUCAAUUUCCAAAAACCCAUUUCCACUCUCUCCCCCGCGUCUCUUUUUUCCAAAACCCUAAACGCGGCUACUCCUCCGCCACCCGAGUCCACGGAGAGCGCGAUCGCCAAAAAGGUUACCGUUGCUUCUCUUUUACCUUUCUCUCUCGAUCUCGCGAGCCCCUAAUUUCACUCCCAUUUGAUUUGUUUUUUUUUCUUUUUUUUGUAAUUCCAACGAAUUUUUUAUGCGUGGAUCUUUAGAUUUUUGGGUAGAUCUGCUUCCGAUCUACUGCGAAUUGUAGAGGCAGAUCCCGUUUUUGCGUUCUUAUUCUUAAUCGCGGUACAAUGUGUUUUUUUAACGUAACAUUCGAAGCAAAUUUUGCAGAUAUAUUAGAAUGUGAUGUAAAAUUGCUUUAUUUUCCCUUUUUUUGGUCAAAAUCUGGGUUCAAUUUGACAAAAUGAUGACCUUUUCUUAUUCAAUUUUUGGCUUUUUUUAUUUUGCGUCUAGAUCUAUGCAGAAUAUAUUUCGCAUUAGGCAUGGGAAACUAUGCGAGUAUUAUUUUGAAUCCGAGAAACAAAAGAAGAAAGAUAUAUACGAAAAAAGUUUUUUUUUUGGGUGACAUUUGUUGAACCUACAUUUUAAUUGCACAGGAAUACAAUGGCUAAUGAAGGCCUCGGAGAUGAGGCUCCGCGCAUUUUGGGUGAUAUGACCAACAUCUUUGGUAAGAGGCCACUCUCAUUGGAUUUGAAAAUUUCUACGAAUGAGAACAAGGUCGAGAGAUAUAAAGAGAGUCCACCGAAAAGACAAAAAGGAACAGGAUACGAGACGCGGUGUUAUCGAAAGAACAAAUGUGCGAUAGAUGACAAGGAAAAUAGAAGAGGUAGUGCGAAAGAAACCUGCCAUUCUACGGCUUCAGAUUAUAGAGAUUACCUUAACAAAGAGAAUACUCGAACCGCUGACCAUCCUUUUAGUUUGUGUUCGGACAAUAUAGACAGUGACUCUAAUACAUGUGGAAAUAUAGAAGCGAAAAUGCCGAAACAUGAUUGUGAACUUUUGGGUUCUUUAUCCGGUCGCAGCAGUAAAGCAAGAGAGUCACAGCCGGAACAAGAGGAACGCCGUGAAGAGGGUUAUGAAACAGAUGGUGAAGAGACUUCCAGAAAUGCUGCGCGAAAUGAUGGUGAAUUUUUGAAUUCUUUUUCUGAAAUGGAAGAUAAGAUAAAUGUUGGGAAUGAUGAAGCCAAAGAUCCAGUUGGGAAAUCGGGAUCGUUAGAGUUAUUUGACACAUCUGGUUCAUCGGGGUACAGAAUGAAUGAUACGAACGAGAUUCUGAAUUUGCACCACGCGCAAAACGGUGAGGAUGCCAAGGGGAAAGGCAGUGUUCAUUUGGACAAAGCAUGUAUGUGCUCCUUUUGUCUUAAAGGUAAAAUUACUAUCUUGUUUCCCUCAUGCAAUUAUCUGCUAAACUUAUAUUAACUGCAUAGAAAUUUAUCUGAAAAUUUUCUUGGCUCUUAUAACUUCCUGAUCUUAUAUUGUAUGUUGCUGGAUUAGCUGCUCAUAUGUUGGCGGAUCUUCAUUACCAGGAUGCCAGCGGCCGUCUUUCUGGUGAGCUUACUUGAUUGAUUCAGGAAUGAAUGAAUUGCAGAUGGUUUUGUGCAGUUGUUGAUCAUAAGCAUUCUAGUUUCAUGUCUACUUCUAGCUUCUCAUGACUAAAACUUUGUUUAUUUCCUUAGCGGUGAACAGGACUAGAAAACAGAUUCGGUUACUGGAAGGGAAAAAUUAUGGCCUUGCACAAACCGGCAAGACUCCUAGAGAUAUCCCAAAGCAAUCCGUAGAAAUGGAGCUUGAACUCACGCAACACUGGAAAUCACUCUUUCUUCAUACGGACAACGUCCUUGAGCGUGAGAUGACGCAGCUUGUAAGUUGCCCACUGAAUCAUUUGUAUGUCUCGAUUUAUCUUUUGAUCCUUUUGAAUGGUGAGUAGAAAUGAGAUACUUGCAAGGCCUAAUAUAAAUGAUAAUGGUCACUGGUUGCAGACUAGUAGCAAGGACUGAAAUACAGAAAAUUGCUUGAAAUAUUGUCAAAAAUCUAAAAACCUCAAAGUAUGACUCAAUUAUGUGUUUGUCAUGCAACUCCUUUAUGUGGUAUACAUCCCUUCUCUAUUGUUGGAAAGUAAUCAGGUAUAUGUUCUUUUUGUUUCUAUGGCAGCAUUCCACCCUACUGAGGUUAAAGGAAUUGAAGGAGAACUGCAAGAGAGAUCUUGAGAUUAGCACAGUUUCUUUAGAUGAUUGAGAGUUAUUUGGUACUUUCGAGUGGAUCAUUCAUAAUUUGGCCAUCCUUGUAUGUUGAUCACUAUGUAUUUUAGGAAGCAAGGUAGGAGCUGGAACUCGGUAAUUACGAUCCGAUUUGAUGCUUACUGUGUUGUAGUUUUAUCCGGACAAGCAUUGGCAAGUGCUUCUAUGUCAGUUGCUAUUUAGGCAGCAUAUAAGUUGUUGUAUGCUAUCACUUUCAGCAAGUGUAAUUUUACUGUACAUUGGGCUGCAUUGAUCAGCCACAAAAUUCAUUUGAAUAUCAAACUGGAAAUCUCUAUAUAAUUCUGCCCUAAUUUUAUUUGAGUGGAUCAAUCAUUGUAGUACUGCACUUGCGGAAUGUCUUCAUUAGCAUCUCUGAAGAGAUAAAUGUGGCUAUGUUUAGGUCUUCAAAGUUGCAUUGUGUAACAGUUCUCCAAAUGAAAGGAACAAUCUUCAUUAGCCAUGCGACUUGUGAUCUGAGAGAUUUUUUUAGACUUUGCACCAAUUGUCAAGCUAGAUUAGGUUGCUGAUAGUACUUGUGAUUGUUUACUGUUACUUUCACAACAUACCAAGUUCCUGUAAUCUUUUUUUAUCUAUAAUUCUAUAUCAACAUAAAAACCCAAAAAAACUGCACCAGAAUGUCUAUCAGAAAUUAGUUUUCAGCCAAAGGUGGUAAACUAACACAAUUCAUUCAUGACAAAAGUAAUUUAGAACAACCCAUUAGAUAAGCCAAAAAUAUUUUGUACAGGAGAAAUUUUAAAUGAACACAUCCCAUAGCCACUGAAAAUCUAUAGCACUUUGGUUAGCUCUGUGACUAGCCGUCCUGCGAGCAAAUGUUGAAACAAUGCCGGAAAAUCAGCAUGCUCUUCCUCCGUGCAGCAUUUGACAGCUUCCCAAAAAUAUAAAACUUCGCCCAAACAGAAUACUUACAAGGAUACCAAUUACAUUUACAUAUUAAUUUACCUAAUGACUCUACCCUCUAUGUAAGCAGCCUGAGCUUUCUCACUCUCUUGUUUGACCUCUUCGUAAGUUUUCAACAUGGCCUCCGCAAAUUUCGUUAGCCGAUCAAACAAUCUUGUCAAGCUACCUUGCAAGUUGACCACCUUCGAUUCUAUCUCCUUACAUUUCUCUUCUUUGUUCUCUUCCUUCGGCUCUGUCUCAUUUUCCUCAUCAGAAAGCUUCUUUUUGGCUUGUUUUAAUUGUGAGUGCUGCUUGAACCAUUCAUGCAAGACCAGUGUGAUCUGAUCUAUAGAAUCAUUAACUUCAUCUGAAUUUUGCGACAAUAUUCCAUUCAACCAUUCCCGCAAGAGAACAAAUAUUGGAGGGGCGAGGGUUCGGCGAGGCGAAAAGGCUACCUUUCUUCCCCUCGAACGUUCUUGUGGUGGCAAGACACACUUUUGGAGCCAGGAGUUGAGAGCUUCUACAUAGGAUUUAUGGGCUUUUACCCAAUUUGAAAAGCUUAAGCCAAAACAAUCCAUCUCACUUCGUAGGUGGAUCAGAGCUCGUUUACAGGACUCACUAGGUGGUACUAAAGCUGAGCUUUUUGUGUGAUAGGCAAGUGAGAUAGUUAUAUAUUGUGCAUGGUGGGUUUCAAGCAUAAUUCUCCACAUGCGGAUCAACCUGCAAAACACAGUACAGUUUGCUGUUUAACUUGCCAAAGUUACAAACCAAGACUUGUAGUCAAUGCAACAAGAAAAGUAUGGAUAGAAUGAUCGGUACAAUAAAUUUACAUUGUACAACAACAUUUGCCGAAUUCGACUUGCGUCGGACAUUUGAAACAGUCAAUGAAGAAAACUGAGUCAACAACACUAACAGGUGUAUGAAGUCAUGGACUAGUAAUUAUAUAGAAAUGCAAGAAAUUUAGGAUCAAUGUUCAGUCUGGGAUCUGGAUAAAUUCAAAGUUUGCUUUGUUAGUAAUCUAUAUGCCGACAUUAGUUGACAGUGUCUACUAAACUAUUCAUGGAAAUUACUAUUCAAGAGUUUAUAUUUUUUUUUUAUCAGAUGCAAAACAUGAAAGGCAACCUAAUCAACAAUAUUCAGAAUACCGUCAAUGCUGUAGUAUAGCUUGUCAAGAAGUUCAAACAACAAAGAUAAGACGACUUUUCGACAGGAAGAAAUUUUAAAAAUUCUUUUGAUUAAUUCAUUCUGUGAGAGGAUUCUAUUGGAUUUGCAUGCUAUUAAGAGGGAAUUUGUCUUCGGAAGCGGAUAUUAUCAAGCAACAGAUAAACGCAGCAUUAAUGGGAAUUAGUUUUGAUAGAAAUACUAGGAAAUUAGUCGUAGCAGAUACAUUUCCCAUAGCAUGCAUUCCAUUAGAAAGAUGAAUCAUUAAAUAGAAGGUAAAAUAGCAUACAUACCCUUGAAUCAGUUCGAUGAGUUGGGGUUGCAGUUCUUCAUCCCUUAGCCUCUCGAUUCUUCUAGAAAUUGAAUCAACUGUUUGAAUUGCUACUCUCAAUCUUGAAUGCAGAACUUUCGCGACAGCCCGAGUUUUGUCGAUCACGCGGGCAUCUAAGUCUCUUGCAAAUUGGUGUCUAAGCUGGACGCAUUUCCGAUCAUAUGCCUUACUGAUGGACUCACUAGACUGUGAAGUUGAAAAAUAGAGUGAAAUCACAAUAAUAAAAUAAAAUAGUGGUAUUAAUUGAGAGAAAAGCACAAAUGCAUGAGAUAAAAGAAUACAAAGGAGCAAAAUUCAUCUUAGAUAUUGUUGUUUUUUAUUUCUUUUUUCAAUGAUUACAAAGUGGUUCGUUUUUGAGUAAACAUGGCAAAAAAAAAAAAAAAAAAAAAAAAAACUAUACAAUUGUAGAGUGUUUGCUAAAUAUACAACUCGUGAUAUUAUAAUUUCAUUGGUCUAAUAAUCUCAACUCAGCUGCACACACUUUCUGAAACCCCCAGGUCAGAGUUGUAAAACUAAGCCAACCGAAAGUUUGGCCACAUAUUCUGAUGUAGAGCUUGAAUACACAUAUAUGAUUGUGUCGCCAGUGACCAGUGUAGAUUCUUUAAGAUGACAUCCCAUUUCCAUCACAAUUUGACAACUUAACUAUGUGUAUAUUACAAACAAAAUAACUGUUCUCAGAAACAGAAAUUUGAAAAGGAAAGAAGAAACAGAUCAAACAUCAUGUAGUUACUAAAAUAGGGAGACAUAGACAAGGACUGAAGAGUGUGAAUGAGGUGAGGUAUAAGCUUCAAGGCACAAGGCUAGACCAGAACUUAACACUCUAUGAGGAAUUAUAAUGCUAGCAAGUGAUGGUAAAAUGCAGAAUUCCUAUUCUACCUUGUUAAAAUAUUGAGCGCAUAGAAAACUAAGUUGUACAAGUUUUUCAGAACAGAAUAUACUUGGACUUAAAUUAACUACAGAAGCCCCCACUAGAGGAACACAAUUCGAAUGCCAGAAAUACCCUCUUCUUUCAUUAGAUAUGAAAUUUAUAAUCAGGUUACAAAAGAAAUUUCCCAAAGCAUUCUAGAAAAUGAAAUGUUUUAUCACAUAAACCAGUUUACCUUCAGUUCAUCGUAAAGUUUUCUCUCCCAAGCAUACAAUCUAUCUAAAGUUGAUGAAUGACUCCCUGAAAUCAUGCAAAAUUCUUCAAUAAAAUCACUACCACUUUCAGUUGCGUCAUCCCUUGAUGCCGAAAUAAGAGGAUUUCUUGAUGAUGAUGACUGUGACGAAAUCGAGCGUUUCCAAGUAAUAACCUGCUUGUCUGAUUCUACACAAAAUUGGAAAAUUUUGAAACAGAAGAAUUUAAUCCACUUUGAACUGUAAUGUCUCACAGCACUACACACUCUUUGAAUAGCUAAUUGUCUUGAAAAGUAAAUUUUAUUGACUUCUACGCUAACAAAUAUGACCUACCAUGGGCUGUGUUGUUCUCUGCCAUGCAACAUAUUAAGAAGGGGGUAAGGACUAACGAUGGUGAAGAUUUCCCUGUCCAUCAAGAAGUUGGUGUGAGAAUUAAAAAGGUUAGCAAGCGAAAACUCGAACUGCGUUUCAACUACAAAAAAACUUCAUAUGUUACCUAUUGUCUCAGAAGAAAUGCUAAGUCGAAUCUUAUUCGUUUCCAGCAUUCUCGACACUUCGUGGCCAGAAUCUGCAGCCUUACUGAACCGGCUUUCAAUAUCUUUCAUACUGGUUAAGAAAUCUUUAGCUCUAUGAGUUAUGAACUCAGACGCAUCUUCCCUUUCAUUGCGUGGUUCUUUCUCAACACCAACAUCCUUUGACACAGAAGUGGUUACUUCCGACGAGGCAACUCUAUUCAGACGUUCAUUUUUUCCAUCGGUUGUAAUAAAUCCAGACCUUCCCAUUAAAUGAUAUGGCUCCAAGCCAUUGUUCUGACAAUCAACUUCUGAAUUAGUACUGGUGGAUGCCUUUUCCUCAUUCUUUCCAAACACCUCAUUUUUCUCUCCAAUUGAAGGACUCAGAUGCUUUUCUUUAGAAUGCUGGAAAUCCCCCAACCUAUUAAAAUUCUGGAUGCCGACAUUAUCAAACGGAACAACAGGAUCAAAGAAGUCCCAAGAUGAGUUAAUAUCCGGAGGUGGCGGAGGGAAAGGAAAAGUAGGGGAUGCAUCCUCUUCAACAAAGUGGCCUUGUGUUGAAUUAACUGUAACUUUUAGAGAAGCACUUCCUGUAGCCCUCAUGAAGCUGACGUCGGAAAUACGAGGAUUUAAAGGACUUUCAUUGGUCAAAGGUGAGCCAAAAUUGUCGGCGAGAGGGGAAGGAGAUGGCGAAGCAUAAGAAGAAUGAGACGGAGAUUUAUCGGGCUCAGAAGUUGCGACAGGUACUUCAAUUAAAGUCUCAGCCUCCACAAACUGUCUUAGAGCAGUUCCUACGUUCCGAAGAGAUUGAACAUAAGACAGCUGAGCCGCCGAGAGAGCAUACCUUGAGUCGAUUGCUUGCUUAAUGAACCGCAUGCGCUCCUUGCAUAGCUGCAGCGCCGCACUACGGUCCUGUUUCGUGCAUGAAUUACCCAUCAGACAAAAACCUUCAGAGCUUCUCGAUGGCGAGAGACACCGUUGCGAAUCGAAUCGUCCGUAUCGAAUCUAUUAUGCGGCUUGAGCGCUCAAAAAACACUCAUGAAGCAGAUUAAGGGAAGUCUGUGUCUGAAAACCUCAUACUACCCAAAACAUGGCUUGUCUUCCCCUGCCUAGACUUAAAACAUGCAACUUGCCUCAGUGUAAGAGGAAAGACCUCUUCCCUUUCGAAAUGCAUUUUUUUUAUGAAUCAUCAGAUUCUUUAGAAUAUCUCUAAAAGCCUCCACUUUCUAACUCCACUUUAAGAUUUGAGCAGUUCAUCUUCUACCCGGGAAGCGCAUUCUACUUCCUGAUGGAAACCCAACUCAGGAAACAACUUCCGAGAGCUCGAAGGACCCAGCAUUGCGUCGCUCCUCAGAAACCUUUCUCCACCUCAAACCCUCGUCGACCAAAAUCCCUCCCCGAUCAAAAACCCUACUUAAACCCACACCCACAAAUUUAGCCUCGGCCAAAUGGCCAAGCUCCCUCUUUUCCACCUCCUCCGAGCCAAAAACCUACGAAUCCCGAGUUCCCAAGAAAAACCCACCUCAAAAAAUUAAAAAUCACAAACCCUUCACACACGAACUCCCACACCCCGCCUUCUCUCUCUCUCUCUCUCUCUCUCUCUCUCUCUCUCUGUGGCUCUCCGCACAAAGCAAAACCCUUUAAAGGGAAAGAUCAGGUAGAAGAGAAUGCUACACACACCCACCCACUACCCUUUUCUAGCUAUAAUCUCUGCGAAAACAGAACACCAAGAACAGCAGAAACAGAAAAAGAAAAAAAAAAAAAAAAGCUAAAGCUCCCGGUAGAUAAAAGACAAAAACCCAGCAAAGAAAAAGCCACCACCACUACAACAAAGAGACCGUGCAUGCGUAAGAGAGAAAAGAAGCAAGAGAAAGAGAACCUCGACUGUAGUGAAACCUCUACAAACCCCUCUCUUUCUCUCUCUCUCUCUCUCUCUCUCCUCAACUCAGAGGAGGAGGAGGAGGAGGAGGAGAGAUUUAGCAAUUAAUAUUUCACCAAUACUCUGUUUUAAAUGCUUCGCUCUCCUGAGAGAGCAUUUACACGGGAGCGUGGGAAUCGAGAAUAGUGCAACGCUGGUGAGCAGUAAUGGGCCCCGAGGAGAACCACCUGGCCCAAUUCCGAAUCUUAAUAAUUACCAUACGCAAUUAAUCGACAAAAAGUGAGUACUGAGAAUAUACCGUGACAAAAGUGCCCCUAGGGUUUCCCAACGGCUCUAUUCGUUCUUAAUCGUACCUCCUCCCCUUUGGGAUGCGGGCCCGGGCCUGCUCAAAGGAGGGUAUUUUGGUAAAUUCGGUGCAAGAAGAGUUGGGCGCCGCUGUACAGAGAUGGAACUCCCGCGUGGGUACGAGAUAUCAGCGGGACGGAACGGACGGCUGUGAUGGGGGGAACAGCCGAUUGAUUGAUCACCUCGAGCAGUAACAAACCCCCACUCCCCUUUAUAUAUAUAUAUAUAUAUAUAUAUAUUAGUGUACGGAUUCAUACCACGCUAAAUUAAAAAAAGGAGAUCUUUAUUCCUGGGUCAAAUAAAUUAAAAUUUUAAAGUAAUUGUUGAAUUUGCAAAAAGUUACUGACAUGGUUUAGUAUAUUAAUUAGUUUAUAUCCUCAGUAUAUCUAUUUUUAAAUUGCCAUAUGUCUAACAAAUUCUAUUUUAAAAAAAAAAAAAAACAUCAGAAGGUACUGUUUAUUUGAUAUUUAUUCAUGAAGAUCUGCAUCUUACUAAUUUAAACAAGGCUAUUAUACCGGUGACAGCAAAUCUCCUCUUUAUAAUCAGUUUCUUAUUCAUUAAGAUAUUGUAUCUGCAUUGAAAGCAGCAAAUAGCCAAGUAAAUAGAAGCAUAACAUCAGCAUGACUGUUCGAGGAGUGCAACAAGGAAAUCACCAACAGAGUAAUACAAUUUGUCAUUAUAAGAGCUGCUGUUGCUGAACUCAUUCCUAAUGACACUUUCUAGCGUCCAUCCAGUUUUUGCAGUGAAAACUCUGUUUAUGUUCCUGACAUCAAUUUCUGAUCUCGUCACGACGGUCCGAAUCAGAACCUCUCGCGCAUCUCCGGCUUUCAAUCUCUUGCGAAGUUGCUUCGCAAAGUGCUUCUCAGGAAACUGAAUGCAUUGGAUCACUCCGCGAAGAAGCUGGCCAAACUCCCCACAUUUCUCUUUCUUCAGAAACUUUGUGAAUUCGCGGCCGUAGAGUUGCUUGUAUGAGGAAAGAAUUGCUUUAAUUUGAUCAGUGCUUCUCUGACUCAGCACCAAAAUGAUGCACCUCUGAUCAAUGUAUUUUCCGCUUUCAAUCGCCUCGUAAAGUGUCUUUGCAUCACACAUAGCCAUACUUGUGUCAACUCUUCCUCCAUUAUAUUUGUUCGAGUUUAAGGCUGCCAAAAGAACCUGUCAGAAUCCAAAAGAGUAAUUUACCAUCUAAAGUUCCUUCUCAUAAUAAUUUCUUAUUUAUCUUGUAAAGGGAGUGGAUGGGAAAUGAUUGCAUCAAUUCACUGAAUAUCACAGUUUUACAGAUGACCACCUAAACUUCCAGUUUUUUCAAAAGCCAUGAAAAACAAUCUGUCCAUUUACCCCUACUUCUGCCAAUUUUUUUUUAACUGUCAGGUGACCCUAAAAAGUUUACCUAUAAUCCUCUUUCUUUGAAUUCCUAGAUGAGAUUAGGUGCAUUUGUUUCAAUUGACUGCUAUAUGACUAGCUAGCUAUUAACGAAAAUUUAAUUAUAUAGAGCAAACUUAGAUGGUCUCUGCCAAAACACAGUAAUUACUGCAGUGUGCUUAUCCCUGGUAAUUUACACUACUAAGAACAAGAAUUACCUCCUUUAUGUUACCGUUAAUUUUAAAUGAAACAUCACGCUCGAGAUUGGAGUUGUAUCUAGCUUGGUAGGCUUGCUUGGUGGAGACAAGUUCCGAUGAAGAACGAGUGCAAAUGAUCUCUAUGAGCACAUCGGUGUUCAAAGCCGUACCAAAGAGUGCUUCCCUAGUUAUCUCCGCAUCCAGAUUAGAAGGCUCACUAGCGCGAAGAUAGGCCACCCUCUGCAUGUAUCGAGAGUCAGUUUGAUGUGAACUGCUUUUUACUUAAUAAACUGCUUUCACUUGAAUUUGAGUUACCACGUAGACUUACUGCAAAAGUAGUGUUAUGUCUGGUGAGGAGGUGAAAGAGAUCACAACUAUAAAGAGCGCGAUAGGCCUGGCAAAUGAGUUUUAGCUCUUCUGUGUUUCUGUGCGUGAAGAUCUCCACUGCUGCCCUUGCCUCAUCCCUAGAUGCAGAGUAACCUGUUUUUUACAAAGUUGACCACAGUUAUGCUUCAAAUGCUGAGUUAUCAUAUAGAUAAGAAUUUCCACAACAUGUUGUUCCAUUAUGACAAUGUGAUUCAGUCAUUUUUGUCAUUUUCUAUAGCUACAAAACAAAAGGGUGUAAGAAAUCCAAGUGCACCCUUAUUUUUUGUUUUAGUAUCUAUUGUCUUCAAUUAGGAGCCUAUGUUGGUUACCAAUCAGAGAAUGUUUGAUGUUCUUUUCAAGAAUGAUAACAAAAAUAAAAACCAAGUCCAAGUUCGAAGAAAAAAAAAGAUAAAAGAAGAGGAAACUAAAUAAUGCCUAAUGAGGGGCAAGAUAUGUCAUUAUAGCUAGCAGGUAUAGCUGAAGCUGACAAAUAAUCUGUGUGAAAAUACAAACUGGAAAGAUAACUAAUCCUCUCAAAAAAAUAUUUAAAUUGUAACUUUUGCACGGCAAAGUACUUGUAGGCAGAAAGUUCAGACCAAAACUUCAGAUAAAACUACAAGUCUGCAAUGUAAGAGAACUCAAAGUACAAACAAGGUUUUGUCACGAAAUGGUGAGAAAACCUCAAAAUUGUUCAUGAAAUCCGAAAAACCACUGCAAACAUCUCUACACAAAAGUGAGUCAAACACGAGUUAUUCGAACAGUCUUGAACAAGCACAUGUAGAAAGAGAAUACGAUUAUUAAUGGGAUAGGUCUCAUUCCAAAUCUGCUAAAAGCAUGGACAGUGUACCAGAAAAUAAGUGGUGAAGGUAUUGACAAUCUGCUUCGUAUUUCUUAGCAAGCUGUUUACUAGUUGCCAUAUUGGAAGAACCUGUGAUGACAAACCUUGAAGAAUGACUCGGAAUUUCAAAGAGGCCUUAGAAUUUAUAUAGUUCAAGAUGCACUACUUUGGAAUAUCACUUCUUUAAAAAAAUAUUAAAAGUAAAAAAGAACAUUGUUGGUUAUGCCAGGAACAUAUUCUACCUUCCAAAUUCAACAAUAGCUAUUGCGCAGGACUUCACUUUCUAUCACUAAUCAAUCAUCGUCAACCAAGGACACUUACAUAUCAAUUCUCAAAUACUUCUAAUUGAAAUUUCAUUCUCUUGGGAUAGCAAAAUCAGCUCUAAUGAGAGCACAGACAAUGUUAACUAAUUUUUUUCAAUAAAACAAGGAAUCCAAGAGGUAGUUCUUGGUGGUGGUGGGAAGCUGCCUUGUUAGUUUCCAUGCAUAGAGAAUCGACAAAUUAAAUAAGAAAAAAAAGUAUACCAUGAAAGCUAACUUUUAAAUACUAAAAUAUUAUGUCUCAAUUCAACGAUUAUUCUUCACCCAUAAGGCAUUGUCAACUAAUUUUCACAUUCCGACAUGUGAACUGGACAAGGAAAACUUUUUAUUUGUCCAGUUAGAAAACAAAGUAGCAUUCAGACUUGUCAUGAGAUUCCUUGUUCCUUAUCUACACAUCAGUAGUAUCAUACCUCCUUUGAGAGAUUGUUCACACUAAUAAAGAGUUAAUAGUAUGUAAGUACUAGCAAAGAAUAAUUUUCACCAGUAGUGAUUAAUAUACUACAAAUGUAAGGUUUAACAUUCUUCAAGGCAAUGCCGUGUAUCAUCUGAUGAAUUUGGUGUUUCCAAAAUGGUUCUUCAGGCGUCAUAAGGCCAUCAAUUGUUUACGAAAGAUUAGUAGGGUCAGUUAUGAUGCAUAAUGAGGCACAAAGUUUUUAAUUAUUUGAAUCAGAAUUGUUCCACUCUUUUUCAAAUCUAAUUAUGGCUUUCCCAAGUAUUCAACUAGCAAUCCCAGUCUCCCAGAUGUGAAGUUUACUAAAUCAGCCUCUGAUACAAAAAACAUUGUGUGUACACUAAAACACCAGUUAACGAGCAAACAUUUGUUAAAUGAGUAACAGAUCAGUAACCUUCUAUUAACCAUCCUUCUCCGAGUAGAGGCAAAAAAAACUCUUUUACAACAACAGAGAGAAUUUUGAAUCAAGUGAGUGCUCACAUAAAACAGGGGGAAAAAAAAUGAAGUGUAGAGGAAUAAUACUUGAUAUCUAAAUAUAUCUGAUCUCCACCACUAAACAAAAUAUAUUACUGACUUUACACCAAAUAAUACUUACAAUUUCGACCACUUAAUUGCAAUUGCUACUGCUAUUGACAGGAGAAAUAGAAAUACAUAGCUCGUCAUUACAUGCCACUCCGCAGCCAGAGUGCAGUGGCUCACACUAAGCGCCUUGCUCUGUUCAAAUGUAACAACAACAAAACCAGGCUUCCCCCUUGCAGCCCAUGUCAUGGCUGGCACUGUCACUUCCCGAAUCCCAUCACUAUGGAUGUGGUCAUAGAAUCUGUGGGCAUGAGCACUAAACACUAUCCUGCACAAGGGAAACAUUUCAUUGAUCGGCAACCCUCAUUGAGAGUUGGUACAAGAUAAUUGACAGUCAGAGGUAAAAUACAAAAUGAAAUAACGCUUUUUAUUAAUGUAUUCAAAUUAAGAUCACUACACCGGUUGCAUGAUUCCUUCAAAUAACAGGCAAAAGAGAGGUCCAAACUUAAUCUUCAAUGAAAAAUAUACCAUUAGGAAAAGAAAGAAGUGCAACGGCGACAACAAAAAGGCGACAGACAAUGACACGUACUUUACAGGAAAGAGGAUAAAAUUCAUUUAUUCUGCUAUGCUCAGCUCAACCCAAAGUGCUUUGUUGGAAGUGAUCACAUUAAUUUAAAAAAGAAAAUCAAGGUUGCAGAUUUGAGCUUCUCGGAACCAAAUAAUUGUGCUUGAGGUGAUGCAUAUAUAAAGUAUGUUUCGAUGUUCUUAGCUGACUAUUUCCCAAUCCAUGGUCUUAAAUGCCUAACAAACAAGAAUACGGCAAGAUUGCUCAUCAACAUGGCACUAAUAGACGGUAACAAUAUAUGCAGAUACUGUUCUGAUCAAGACAGACAUUUUUGGAACUUACAGUCAUCGAAGAUACCCAACUAUAUAUCUUUCCGUCACCACAACAUCUAAAAAAAAGAGAAUAUAUUUUCCAGCUUCUUCAAUUGAUAAAUUCCCUUCUUCUUAAUGACUCACGCACAUGCUACUGGGGAUAACCCGAGUCCCACAAAGUAUUAUUUGACCUUGCUCUCAAAAAUAUCAGCUGUACAUAUCUUUGUACCACCAGCCCACUACAUGCAAUUAUCGACAUUUACAAUGAAAAGAAGCUUCGAAAUUCUUGGAAAUACUCACCUAGGCUUAAGCGCCUGAAGGAUAUAUUCGGUAGCAUUUGCUGGAAGAGUAUGAUUCAGAUCAUAUGUUGGCAGGUCAAAGACUUCACUGCCAAAAUAAAAAACAAAGGAUGAUGAAUUACAAAUAUGUCCUGUAACACAAAUAUACUUGAUAAACAACCAAGAUGCAAUGAGGCUCAAUAUUUUUGGUAUCGCACUGCAAUCCAGAAACUCUGAUCAUGGGAACAUCUAAAAAAGAGGAGGUACCUAAAAGCUAUGACAUCAGAUCUGGCCAAGACUUGAUAACAGAAACUGUAACCGAGUUCUCAACCAUCCUAGAUAUAUUGGUUUAUGAGGACUCUUAUCACUCUGACUAGAGGAUAAACUGUGAAGUGGAUUUGCACAUAAUAUAAAUAAUAACCUCAGCUAAAAUUUGGUAUAAAAGAUUCCAACAAGAUAUUUUUUCUCCCCAAUCUUAAGCAUUGUAAGACAUAUACAACCAUGAGGCAUCUUCAAUAUUUUCGAUUUCUUAAUUGUCCUUACAUACUGGAAAUUAUAGGCUACUUAGUAUAUUCGAUUCAAGCAUCAUAGCAAAGCUGGUUAUCAAUUCUUAUAGUUGCAUCAAAAAAUAACAAAUUCCACCCCUAAUUAACUAAUACGGAAAUAUACUGUACCAUAUGUAUGAUGAAAUGAUGAGAUAGCCAAAAAGUACAAAUCGGCGAGGCUGCGAUACCUAUAUCCAGAACUUAAACUCCACAAAUGAUUAUGCCAGCAAUUUCCCUCAGCAACCUUGCCAUCUCCACGUUCAUUUUUAAUAGCACUAUAAAGAGGAAAGUGAAGUAAGACCACAGGACCAGAACCCAAUUCUAUGUUAUUCCCUCUCCAGGGGAAGUUGCUGAAUACAGCUUCCUUUUCAGGUGAUGCAGUAGCUUCUCCUGCCACAACAUUAAUCUGGCUUUGUAGAUCAACACUUUCCCUCUCUACGACCUUCUCGACACUGAAGCGCAAGUCAUUGCUGCCACAAAGCAUUGCAACUGCAUUUAGUGAAACAAAACUAAUGUUGCCGAUCUCGAAAGCGCUACAACCACCUGAAUCAAGUCCCGGCAUAUGGUCUGCAAUCUCUCUAACAAGCUUCCUAUCUAAGUUGCUGCAUUCCCCAACAUCUCUAUCGCCCAACACAAUAUGAAGAGGAAGAUCUACAGCAGGUUCCAGCAUCUUUUGAAACUGCUGCAGUAUUGUUAACCACUUACUCUCAGUGAGUUCAAAUCCCUUCGCAGAUAUGUCUCCCAAUACUACAAGCAUAUCCGGAUUUAGAAUCUGAAAGGAUUUCUGGUUCACGAAUAGAACAGUAACUUAGAUUUCAAGGAAAUGCAUUUCAAAGAUCAUAAAUUUAUCCUUUAAGCAAGCAAUAUAAGGCCGAAAACCCCGAAUUCUGCUUAUAAUCACAAUUCUAACUCUAGAGCUAAGUUCAACGAACGAUCAAAAGAACCAAAUGUGCUAAAGGGAUCGAAACGAGAACUUUACGCUGAAGAACUUGGAUGUGAAGGGGUAUCUGAAGAAGAGGUCGAUGUACGACGCAUCGGAGCCCCGCAACAGGAGAUCUGCCACCAUCAUCACCUUCAAAUCACCCGAGUGGCCCAAAUCGCCACCCCCGCCUCCGGAGAUCGAGCAUGAAGGCGUGGAGACCCAAUCCUCGAAGGCGAUUAGCGCGGCGACGAGGAGGAGGGGCAACGCCGAUGCGAGAGGCGUCAUCUCCGGCGCUGGGCUAAGCAUGGCGAAGAAGAGAGAAGGGUUCGCCAUGGAUGCCGAGAGUUCGAGCGCCGCGAAGAUUUAGGGUUCCCUCCGCCAUGGCCGCAGCCGUGUUUGCUCCCUGUAGUGGCACAGUACCCGGGGCGGAAUUUUGGUAGGUGCUGACGUGGUGGACCUGGUCCAGGGAUCAACUCUCCUUUGAAGGCCUCGGACUACAGGAACGGUCCAAACCCGGCCCGAAAAGGGGGUUAUACAAGCUAGAAAAUUGGACCAGAAUUAAUGCAAGAAAACCCGGCCUGAAUUCCGAGUCCCACCAUUGAAUCAAGGGCUUUAGAUUUUAAUCGAUUCCGAGCUAGGCCGGGCCCAAGGUUUAGACUGAGCUCUUAACUGGGCCUCAAACGGGUUUGAUCCCAAACAAAUUCGAUAUCCAAGACCGAGACCGAAAUUAUCUUUGCUCUAUAGUCCCUGUUGAUUGAGGGUUCAUGAAUUUACAAAUUGUGAUCACGUAAUUGAGAUUACUUUUGUGCACUCUGAACUAGGUUGAGGCAGAAAAAGAGGAGGAAGUUAUAUAUCAAAUCGACGUUUCAGCUAACGGUCUCAGUGUAUUUUUUUUCAGUUUUCACUGAUGUUCAAGAGAUCAGCAUUAGUUAAAAGUCACAUGUAAAUAAUUUCUAGAAAUGCAUAGUUAAAUUACACUGCCAUUUUCGAUGUUAGAUAAAUAGUUACACGCGCUUCAUUUUGCUCUUAAAAGAAAAUAAAGAGCAGGAGACUAGAAACGUGAUAAUAUUUUACAUAUUGAUGAGACGGAGCCUUUGUUUGGGCUUGUUUGAUAACCUUAUGUAGGACUUCUUUUGAGUACUUGAUACAAACCUAUAAGCAAUAUAUAUAUAUAGACAUGAUGAGACUAAUUUCUCAUCCAUAAACAUGUACAAGUCAGAUGAACUCUUUAUAACUGUUAGAACUCAUAGAAGCUGUGCCUUUGAGGUAUGCAGUCUUCCAACGGAAUUCUCGAGCCGAUGCUCGAAUAGAUGCUGGAGUAGCCCUUUCUGCCUCUGUUUCCAUUGCUCAUGUCAACCUGAAUCAUGAAGACGGCACACACGGGUCUAUGAUCGGAGAAUCUCGAUUCUCCUCUUAUGUAUUGUAGCUGUUCAAUGCUGUUCCCAUACCAUAAGAUCCUGUCACACCUAAAUCAACAUGAUAAAGAUCAUUAACAUAUUUUUUGCCCCCCUUUUUUCUCUCAGAAAGCUACUCUUUUUCGAGUACUCAUAAGAAUUACUUGAGUAGUAAAUAGACUAAUUAAUGGCAUAACAUACCACGCAGGCGUUCUACGCUUCUUCUUAGAUUUCACGGUCUCUCCAGCAUAUGCGUCCGAGUUAUGGGAAUAUUUAUAAGUAGGCGCAAAAUAUAUCUUGCCUUCUUUCCACCCAGUGAAUACUCUACCUGCUUCUUUCUCUAACUUCAACUGUCAUUAGAUAAUAGAGUAAAUAAACUAGUACCAAAAGAAAAUUACAUUGCCUGGUUGCGUAUGUCGUACAUAGCUUGUUUGUAGGAUUGUUAUUUGGUGAGAUUUGUUUACCUGAUCUUUCUCUAGGAGUGCGUCCCAGUCGUUAUCCUCGAGAAGAACUCGUGUCUCUUUAUAGCUUAAUGCAACGCGGUAGUUCAAAUCCCCAAGCCAGAUCACCCGACUGUCUUGCAUUCAAUUCGACAUUAUAUUAGAAACCAAGAAUUAUGCAAUUCUGAUUUUGUAUCGAAAUAUAGCAGAGUUUUAUAAUCCUACUCGUGAUCGAGGAUUUUUUCAGGAAUUUUACGGCCAGGGACCUUGCAAAUUCUUGGAAAUUGUGUGCUCUUUAGGAUUUCAGCCACGUCUGAGUUCCUCCUCAGCUCGUCGCCCUCCUUUUCGCCGGAUGCUAAGUGGCUGCACACGAAGCAGAAGCUCGUGCGGAACAGAGACAUGCUGAUUGCAAUGCACCCCUAUAUUGGAAACAAAAUGUCAUAGGUGACAAACUUUUCUUAGUUGAUAGUACCGAAGAUCAAUAAAUGGUUAAUUGCAAAUUUACCUCAUAAAGUUUGAUCAUGAUUUUAAUUAUUCCCUCAAAGUUAUAAUUUAGCAACUUAGUUCAUGAAGUUUGUUCUACACAACAAUUACAUUGUAUUAAAAAAAAAAAAUCCUUCCAUUAGUCUACCACAUUCCAAAAAUUGUAUAUACACACGUUCGUCAACAAAAAUACAUAAACACUAUCAUCCACAUUGAAACCUUAAAAUGCUGCCACCGAGCUCUAAAGAAGAUAAAGAUGAUCUCGUAUGCGGAUUAUAGACUAACAAAAGGAUUUAAUCGACAUAGAACAAACUUCAAGAAUGAAAUUGUUAAUAUUGAACUUCAAGGAAUAGCUUAAAUCAUUAUCAAACUUGAGGAAUUGAGGAAUUUAAAAGUGUUACUAGAAAAUAUAAAUAAUGGGCUUACCUUAUUACCAAGACAACCCAUGAUCCCUCUACCUACAGAUGCCACCCUUAGGUGUCCAAUGUGUUGCACAAGCUCACUUCUCACCCACACUGACAAAAAGAGUCCCACCAUUUGCUUACUCGAAAUUAGGCAGUAGUUCAUGUUACUCCUAAGAUCAGAUCCUGAGAAAUCAGUUGUUGGGGAAUCUUCAUCGGAGCCCGACUCUAUUCUAUAGAUGAACUCUCUUAGCUCUCUCGCCCUUCUACGCAUGCGGGACGGCUCGGAAGAACAAUUGCAGGUCUUAACAAGGGCACUGUCAACGCGGUAGUUCUUACUGAGGACUUUGAGUGAUGGUUUUUGGAAGAAGAGGAGGCCGCUUGAGGACUUGGAAUCCCUAUAAUGUUUAGAACCACUAUUCGAUUCUGAGGAGUCGUCCUUAGCGGAUUGGUCACGGGGCUUGUUGAGGGCUUGGCAGAUGAGGCCAAGCCAUUUUGCGGCGGGCUCGUUGUCUUCGAUGACCAACACAUUCCCUGCAUUUAAAGGAACUAUUUCCUGAAACCUGAGGGAGAAACAGAAGAGGAGAGUUCAUCACAUCAUUCUGGCUCUGUGAUGAGGAGAUUUGAACAUAUGUAAUUACGAUUGCUAGUUACACCCAAAAAAGUCGCUAGGAUUACCAGUAGUGUGUAAUGAUAUCCAAACAUGGCUUGGCCUCUAGCCUUUUUCGCAAACAUGGUUCUUAUUGGAAAAUCAGCAAUGUGCAAGAAAAAAGAGUUACUACAGGCGCAUGUGCUCGGUAAGAUAACUGCAGGGAUUUACUGAUCGGAUAUUAUAAUACAACAUUUCAUGUAAGGAUCUUAUUGUUCUCUUGAUAGGCACUAAUUUCAUAGUUGAGGAAUUUACAUAAAAUGAUCUGAUUUCUUUAUUCCCAAAUGCUUUAAAAACAAUAAUAAUAAUAAUACUGCGACAGGCUGGCAGAAAUCAGAGCAUACCAAGCUCUGGCAGGAUAAACAUCACUAGCUAUAUUUUCUUUACUUAGGCACGACAGGGACACUAAAAGCAACUAAUUCCAUGCCCUUUUCCUUAAACCUAACUGCGGCUUCGUUAGCUUCAAUUUCUUAAAUGAUGUUAAAUUUUCCUUGCAUAGUAGAAACAUUACUUUUAAAGGCUCAAUAAGCACAUUGUGUUUUUUCUUUUUUUAAAAAAAGUGUUAAAUGCUUCUACCGUAAAAUUUAAAUAUGCAAAAAGUUCCAGAAAAGGGAAGCAUACCCUAACACAUAGAUGUCGGAAGAUCCUUCUACUUGUAGAAAGUCUUCUAGGUUGAGGCCAUUGUUCGGAGGUUUUCCACCAACAUUCCAUGUUGCCACAAACACCCUGCAAUAUGAAGCAUCUUAUAAAUUCAGAACAGAUCACAAAAGUCUAACACCAUUCGUCGCGAUGCUGCGCCAAAAUUCAACAAAAAAAAAGGGAUUAAAAGCAUAUAUUACGCUACCGAAUUUCCUGUACUUCAACGACUUGCCGCUUGGGCCGAUCAAAGCCGCACAGAUUCAAACCUUCGAUCCGCGAACUACAGUGUCUAUCUGAAUACAAGCAAAUUUGGGAUGAAAUCGUAAAAUGCAACUAUAACUGCAAUGCACAAAUUUAGAGGUAAAUGUUGUUCAUUAAAGCGACCUGAAAAGCUUUUGCGAACAAAAGGGGAUGCAUCCAAGAAGCUCCUCCUCGCCACAUACCUCCUCUCUAAAUCUAUUGCGAACAACAACAACAACAACAAUAAUAAUAAUAACAAAAAAUGAACAAAUGUAAAUCUAAAAUUCUCAACCCACAAUGAAAUAUGGAGAAAAAAAAAAAAUUAGUAGCAUACCGAGAACAAUUUCCCUGCGCGAGAAUAUGUCGUCAUCCGAGCUCCUCCCGUUCUUUCCUUUCUUACCAAAAAUGUUGGAUAUAAUCGACUAAUUAAGAGAAACAAAUUCAAAGCAGUGUGAUCGUACAUACGCAAUGUAGUUUAAAUAUCUCUCAGAAAACAAUCAACACAGAUGCAUAUACGUACCUUUUUCUUUUUGUCAUUUUUAACAGAGUUAUCCGAAGUACUAGAUUUGGUCAUAUCAAAGGAAGGGUUAUGAUUUGACAUCCAAUUCAAGAACAGAGAAUAUGGUGUCGAAAAAGAAACAAAACCUCGAAGGGAUUUGUCAUAAUUUCAUAAUCAGGUGAGGAGAAAGAAGUUCGAAGAUUAGAAAAAAAAAAAGAAAGAGAAAAAGAAAAAGGUGGGGAGAUAGAUAGAGAAGGAGAGAAAGAGGCCUACAUCGGCGCAGUUACCCGAUUUGGGUAAAGCAUUUGUUAAUGGGUUUGGUUAAGAAAGAUAACAAACUCUCCCGCCACCUCCUCGGACGGGCCCGAACGUCUCCGCCGCCUCCAGCGGAGGCCGCGACCGGGUCGUCUCGCCUGCCUCCGAAUUCGAAUACUGCACGCUGGUGGGGCCGCAAUAGCCGGAGCCGAACGAGGCAAAUUAAUGCAUGCGCCUGGUGCACCAUGCAUUUAUCCCACUCGUCAAAUUUUUUUUUUCAAAAAAGUAUUAGGAUAAAUUACGGAAAAAAGUCCUCCGUCAAUACUCACUCUUUUUUUUUUUCUCAUUCAAAAAUUUAAACUUUACCUUCUUAAAAAAUAAAAAAUAUUCACCUUGAUUUCUGUUGUCAGUGUUUCGUUAAAGUUUCGUUUAUAUCUUAUUUUUUAUAUCCAAAAUACCCCUAAAGCCCUCCUUUUUCCUCAUCCUCAGCUGCGCCGUCUCGCCCUUCGCCACGUCGCCUCACCCUCGCCUACUUCUCUGUCCAUACCCAUACGCACGCCCUCGCACGCCUACGCCGCCUCACCCUCGUCCUCGCCCAUCUCUCCGUUCACAUCCAUCCCGAUAAAAAUGAGGAAUAAUUUGGUCAUUUUGUCAUAAUGUACUCAUAUGAAUAUUUUUUAUUUUUUAAGAAGGUAAAGUCUAGAUUUUUGAAUGACACAGGAAAAAGUGAAAAAACGGAUAUUGACAUUAAAAUUUUUUAUAAUUUAGCCAAAAUAUUAUUAUUAUUAUUAUUUUGUAUAUUAUGAGAUUUAAGGUAUGAUUUUUAAUAAUUAUAUUUUGUGGGUCAAAUAAUGUUCUUUUGUAUUUGUAUGUAGGUAAUGCUAGAUAAUAAAAUUCUAAAUUUAUAAUUCUAAAUUUGUAGUGAUACUUAAGGAAAUUAUUUUAGAAGUUUCCUCAAACCUUCAGAAAAAUAAUUCAGUAUAAAUUUUUAAAUUCAAUUGAGAUUAUUGUAGAAGUAAACGAGAUUCGUGAUGAAGCCUAAAUCAACAAUUGGUAUCAGUAAAUAUGAUCUAAGCUAUUUAAACUUCGUAACAAAAAAAAUUAAAUUGUACGAUUUUAUUACACAAUUUAUCAGAUGCUUAUAUAGUUUUAUGUCUACAUUAUAUUAGCCGCAAAAAAUUGUCAAUUCUGGAGUAUCGUUUAUAACGCAAGUGAGAAGCUCAUUUUUAAAUAAUAGAACAAAUCUUUAGUAUGCUACUUAUUCUUUUUCUCAAAAAGAAAAAAAAAAUACUAGAACUACUAAAAUAAUUGGCAAAUAAUCAAAAUUUAAAAUUUAUAUAGCCUGAUAAUAUGGGUCACUGGCAAAUAGUCAAAAUUUAAAAUUUAUAUAGCCUAAUAAUAUGGGUCACCGGUUUGGAGACGCUCCAUUACCAAAAACAAUGCGAAAAUCAAUAGUUUUAUUUAUUUCUACAAAUAUUUUAACGUUACUCUAUAUUUAAUUAAAAUUAUAAAUUUUAUUUCUUAGCUUAAAUUUUAAAUUACAGGGAGGGGUGCACUGGGUGCAUACAAUAACUUGUCAGUUAACAACAACACGAUAAAGAAAAGAAAAGUUAAGAUGGAUAUAAAAAUAGAGAAAUGAGAAGGAGAUGCUCUUUAUAACAAAGUCAACUAUUUUUAGACUCUUUUGGGGCUCUGUUGAAUAUGCUCAAUGUUUGGUCUAACCAUGGCUUCCAUGACUUUGAUCCUGAUUAACUUGCCAAAAUGCCAAACAACUAAUCUAAGCUUUGGGUGAUGAUCAUGCUAAUAUUAUAAAAAUAUAACCAAAUAAGUAAAAGGUAGUUAUAGUUAUACUUGAUGGGUGAUUCAAAAACAAAGGUAAGUAUUCAAUGACAUGAAAUAUAAGUAAAAAUAAAUAAGAUUUGUGAAAUAAAUUGUAGGAUGGGAUUUUGCAAUUUAGCGUGAAAUUUAAGCCGUAAUAAUAUUGAUAGAUAGAUAGAUAGGCCCAUUACUUUUCGAACUCACAAUCCGGACCCUCGGUCCAUCUAAGCCAACGGUAAUAUUCACGCUUAUUUAAGGCCAACCCCAAAUGCCCAUUACGUUUCCUAGUUGGUCUCGGACUCUAACCCGAGAGUCACAUUAAUACUUAUUUAAGCCCACCUCCAUUAGGCCCAUUACAUUUCUUGGCCGGUCUCGGAGUCCGAAUCAGACCCGUGGGUUUCCAAUCCAAGCCAACGGUCAUUUUUUAUGCCUAUUUAAGCCGACGUAGAGCGCGAUAUCGCGAGAGAUGCGACGAGGCCAAAAGACGAAGAGAGAGAGAGAGAGAGAGAGAGAGAGAGAGAGAGAGAGAGCGAGGGAGAGAGCUUGGAGUGUUCGGGGGGAAGAGAGAGAGAGAGAGAGAGAGAUCAGAGAAAGGUUCGGAGUGGAGACGAGCUCUUCGGGAAGCUUCUCCCAUCGGUUCGUUCCGAUCGUUCUCUUCUCCUCGUUGUUUAUGUUUCGCGGGAUGGUGAACCCUAAUCCCUCCGAUUUUUCUCUAGAAUUAGGGCUCUAUUCGGGAUUCCUUGGAGAUUUUGGCGUCGUUUUUUUGCUUAUCGAUUGUUCCUAUCUUCUUCUUGGAACAGUCCGAUAAAAGUCCUAUGGAUUCCGUUUAUAGAACUCCUCUUGAAGGAGUUAAGAUGCGAUUGGCUUUGUAUGUUGUUUUUCAAAAUGAUCCAACGGGGAUGGCACGAAAAAGACGAAGGGGAGGUGAUCUCCUCGGGAAGCUUCUUGAAUCGGUUCGUUUUGAUUUUCUCCUCUCGUCAUCAUCUACCUUCCUCGUCAAGUGUGGUGAGCCUAAUUCUUCUGCUAUUUCUGUAGUAUUAGGGUUCUAUUCGGAUUUCUUGGAUUUUUUUUUUUUGGAUUUGGCAUUAUUUUUUUGGCUUAUCAAUUGUUCCUAUCUUAAUUGUAACAAAUCUGAUAAAGAUCCUAUCGAUUCCAUUUAUAGAUAUUCUUUUGAAGAAGUUAAGAUGCGAUUGGCUUUGUAUGUUAUUUUCAAAUUGAUUCAACCGGGAUGAAAUGAAGAAGACGAAGAGCAGAAUUUCUACAGUAAACAAAUCCCUUAAAGGUGCUAAUUAUGUUAACAAAGAUUAUGGUUCAUCUUCUCCGGUCUGCAUCAAAGCAGGAAGACGUUUGGACGGUGGUGGACCUGGUGGUGGAGUUGUGCAGCCAGAGGGAGCAUCCUAAUCUUGAUAAUUAGUUUGGUAAUGUAUUCGUCAAUCAUGCAUAAUUUGUCUCUUGUCUGGUGCCCCGAAAUUUGAAAAUCGUAUCGUAAUCUUGAUAAUAUGUAAGUUCUUACUGUCUCCAUCCUGUUCAUCAGCAUUCUUUUCCUUCUUCCUGCAUAAUUUUAGAUUUAGAAGGUGCUAAAUUUAACAAUAUGCUAAGAAGUGGAAAGUGUUAAAUUUAAUGAUAUGCUAAGAAGUGGAAUAUGAAGGACUUUGUCUGCAACGAUGCCUAUAAUGUGGUCAAGAACUGCAUGUUGUGGAUGUAAGAAACUUUUUGAAUGAUCAUUUGUCUUGUAACUGUCAUGUCAGUCAGAAGAACAUUUCCUGUGCUAUUGAUCCUGCAAGAUAUAUUUCACUUCUAGAGAUUUUGAUAUCUGAAAUUAGGAUGAAGAGUUUAGUUGGAAAUCUAGAAUUUUAUUGCAGAGCUGAGAAUGAAGAUGAUUUUUCUUCAAUGUGGUUGGCUUUCUUCUUCUUACAUAUAGUUAGGGAAAGGGUUGCAAUGGAGUUGUAAGAAAAUCUGAUAAUUUUGCUUAAGUUUGUUAAUUUCCAAGUGCACUAAAUUUGGAGGAAUUGGUGAGAACAAUCCGGCUAUUGAACCUUAGUCCAUUAUCUAUAGAAAAUAAAUGUCAUCAAAUGAGACAUGGCCUAUUAAUCUGUUUAACAGAAAUGAUACUGUUAUAAAGCCUGUUGAAAGACUUGAAAUAACUGUUGACAUAGAUAUUAAUAGCUGAAAAGAGAAAAUCUAGAGCAAAGGGAUUCGAUAGAAUAUAUUGGUAUGGAAAUUCUAGAUAGCUGAAUUUUAUAUUAUUUUUUUAUUGAUUUUUUAAUUUGGUUGAUAAGAGUUAGGGGUCACUGAGAAAUUGUGAGGCUGAUUGAUUCUUUAGUAUCCAAUGAGGAUUGCAGAUGUUUCUGAGAAAAAGGAUUAAUUAUGCUAGUCAUGCAAAGACAAGGUUUAGUGAUAUAUUGUUGGGAGAGGGACAUUUCUUCACUUCAAACCAGUGAAAUAAAAAUUAUUCUUCAUGAUAACAACAGAAGUAGAAAAUUUGAAGCUGUUCAAAGGAUUCCAUCGGUUCGAUAUCUAUCGAAGGGGCAUUUCGAAGUCUACUUUCCAUUUGAUCCUUUUAUUUGAUGCAAUCUAAACUAGCAAGGGUUAGGAAUGCUAUUCUAAUGUCUUAUCUUGGUCCUUGAUUUUGUUGCAGAUUGCUUAAUCAUUCACUUCUUCUGGAUGCUUCUUACACUUGGCAUCCAAUGGGUGUUCUUUCCUCAGAUGGUAAAACGAAAUCUUCUGCUUCUACUGUAUCUGAUUUUUUGUGCAUCUUUUUCUCUAGAGCAACUUCAAAAGAUUUAUGCCCUUAACACCUGUGGAUACUCUUUUUACUAAUGGUUUUACUAUGUAUUCAUAUUUCUAUUGUUUAAAGCUUCAACAUAAAACUUGAGAUGACCUCUUGAGUGAUGUAGCUUCAAAAUUAAUUUUAUCUCCUAGGGUUCCAGAUAAAGGCAAAUAUUGUGUUCUAUAUUUACCCUUCAAUUGGUUGUAAUUUCUCAGUUGUUAUGUUUGACUGAAGACCAUGCAAGAAAUGUUUCGGAGCUCUUUAUUGUCUUCAAAUAUGCAUGACUUUUAUUGCUUUUUGAUUUUUUUAUUUCACAUCAACUUGGCAUGUGGUUCAAUCCUUGUUGUUUUUGUUUAUCCGGAUUUCUUGAGAUUAACUUCUAUUCUAGAUCUGAAGCACCGCUUUAUCUUAUGGAAGACAUUGUUAACUACGAUUCAGAUAAUUGCAUUUGUGUGAGCAUCAAUUGGUGUCCACAUUGGGUCUACUGAAAGGGUUCAACACAGGGUCAAAUUGUGUCAGGGAUGUGUCUAAAUUGAUUGUAAGAACAUCUCUUUUGUUUGGUCGUAAGUUAAGUUUUAUCAGUAGUUUUGGUGAGUCUAUUUGGUUGAAUUAGGACCUUUUAUAUGGAAAUCCAAAGUUUCCUACUGCGAGAGUUAGUUGAUGUCCAGGACAGUUGUGAACUAGCAGUCGACAAUUCUCACUAUGGUGGGAUCAUGGUCAACUUUCCACUGCAUCAUAGAAAAAGUAUUUAACUAGAUAUUAGCUGAAUAACAACUAGCAACCAAAAGUCUUUUAUAUCUCAGGGCUUCACAGGCAUCAAAGAGUUUUAGAGAAUGUGGUAGAGAUGGUUAUCUUCUGUUGUUUGGCUGAGAAAAAUAGAGGGAGGUUAUGCACUUUUUUGGGACAGAAGAUCAAAAUAGGCUUUUGACCCUGGUAGCCUUCUGUACUUUUGCUCUAAUAUGUGAAUGCAUUGCUGUCAUUGUAUUUCAAGUAGAAUGAUUCACAAUACUCGAACAACUGGUUCUUCUACUUUCUCAACUGAUUGAAAGAUCUAAUAUCUGAGAUUUUAUUGUAUGACUUAACAGUGCAUCUGAAUUUCUAGUGAUCUAAAACACUAAGGUUCAAAGUGUCGUUCCUGUGCUUUUUUUUUCCUUCCCCCUGAUGUUUUUUUUUUUUGUGGUUUUUCUCUCCUUUAUCCUGAUAGGUUUCUUUUUGAGUGGUUUUUUUUUUUCUCUCCUCCUGCUAAUGGGUUUUUUGUUUUUUUCCCCUCCCAUUCUCCCGUUGAUUGGUUUUUUAUUUUUUUGUGAUUUUUUUUCUCCCUCUCCCUCCCCAACCCCCCCUCUUCGAUGGUUUUUUUUUUUUCCUUCCCUCCUUCCGCUAAUGCGUUUUUUUGUUUUCUUCCCCUCCCCUCCCCUCCCCUCCCCUCCUCCUGCUGAUUGGUUUUUUUAUUUUUUUGUGAUUUUUUUUUCUCCCCCUCCCUCGCCCUUCCCCCCUUCGAUGGGUUUUUUUUCUUCCCUCUUUCGCUAAUGGAUUUUUUUUUUUUUAUCCCCACUGCCCACACAUCCAAAAUGACUUUUUUUUUUUUUUUUUCCCUUCCCCCCAACACUGGAUGUUUUUUUUUCCUUCUCCCCUGAUGGUUUUUUAUUUUGUGGUUUUUUUCUUCCUUCCUCAUGAUGGCUUUUUUGAGUGAUUUUUCCCCCCCACCCCCCAUGGAUUUUUUUUUUUUUUGUGGUUCGCCUUCCUCCAACCCCAAUGGGUUUUUUUUUUUUUUUUUUGUGAUGGUCUGCCCCCCCCCCCCCCCCACCUUUGCACAAUCUAUAUAAUGAAUUAUUGGUUAAGUACUAUUUAUAUUUGAUUCUGAAUCUUCACCUUAGUUGUCAAAAUGCCUAUCCAAUCUUCUUCUUUGCAAGUUUCUUGUUGGCAUCGACAUGAAAUCAUUAAACUGAUGUAUAGUAAUUAUACUUUAUUUAAUCUUGUCUUUGUUAGUUCUUAACCUGAUUCGGUGAUGAUGUUUUUGCAUCUGCUUAUGUACUUCUAUAGAGACAAAAAUUUUCUGGGAUGUUAUGGAUUGCCGUGCCACUUUCACAGCCCAUGCCACUGGCACGACAUAGCAACAUAGGGCGUGUCAAUGUCGGCAAUGAUCCCCCCCCGGUGCUAAUGGCACCACUGGCAUAUUGAGUAUUGACAUGCAUUGGAGGAUUUUUUUAAUCAAAUAUUCGUUAAAAAUUAGUUUUUUAGAUUGUUUUAAUAUCUUUAGUAGUUAUAAAAAUGGUUUGUGUUCUAUCUUGUACAAUUUAGUAAGAAUAGAGUCAUAAAGAUUUUAAUUACUACAAAAAUUUAUUUUACAUAUAUUAUGGAAAGUAUAUGCAUGAAAACAAAAAUAAAGUUGUAAUUGGGUAAAAUUUUUAGAAAAACAAUGCCAUAGCAAAUUCAAUACAUCUAAAAUAAAAAAAAAAAGGGGGAGAUCUUCAUUUUUGUAUUUUCUUUUUUUCACUAAAAGAUGAUAUCAUAUGCAAUUGAACUCACUAAUUGCAACAAAUGUUAGUAAAUUUACAAGAUUUAUAUAUUUCAAGAUGUGGAAAAACUAUUGUAAACCUUUUCAUCUCCAAAAACUCAAAAAAAAUAUUUUGUCGAUAUGGUGUCGGCAUGCCCCUAUGCCACAUGCUGGCACGGCCUCGGCGCGGGGCAGCACGGGCAAUCCUUGGGAUAAAUUACGAAAACUAGUUCCCAUAAACUCUUUCGAAACUUAUGCAUCAUUGUAUUUUGCUUGAUUGGCUAUUAUUUAUUGUGAUUUUAAUGCUCCUUAUUUUGACAUCAUAAAAUUAUAGCCUUUAUUAACUUCAAAAAGAUUCUGUGCUUUUAAAUCAAUGGGAAGUGCUUUUGAAAAGAUUCCGUUCUUUUAAAUGAGAGGAAAGUGCUCCAAAUGUUAAAUCUAUUAAGAAAUUAGGCCUUUCCGGUCUUUAUGGAUUUCCCCGAUGUUCUUCUUUGUUGCUUAUUUGUAGUUCCUCUCUUCUUCUUGUAACGAUAUUGAUAUAGAUUUGAUAGAUUCCGUUUAUAAGUGGCUUUUUAGGUCUUUUUCAGAUAGAUUUAUCAAUUGUUAUGUCGUAUGAUUUGGAUAGCGACCAUCUUCUCUGAUAUGACCAAGAAAGGUUCAAUUCUUGAUUCUGAGAACUUGAUUCAGCUGUUCUCAGAAGCUGAUUCAGCCUACUGAGAUUGUGAUGUGAUGUCGGUAUUGGUUUUGCACUCCAGCUCAUUAUCUUUCUUUCUUUAUUUAAAUUAUCCUUGUUACAAUCAAGAAGGCUUCUUGGAUCUUGGUAUUAAUUUUGUCUUCCUAUAUGCUUCAAUGCCUUUAAAAUUGCUGGCCUAGAUUAGUAAAAUUUUUGCACUACAAAGUCCCAUAAAGGUACAAAUUAGAUUAACAGAGGGUUAUGGUUGAGCCUUCUCAGGCGUGCAUCAAAGCCGGAAGAUGAUCUGCCGGUGCUGGCGAUGAAUUCCAAUCUAGAUAUUCAAUUGUAGUGGUUGUGGAGGUGUACACCCAGAGGAAGGUAGUCUCCUAAUCUUGAUAGUUUGGUAACUUGUUUGUCAGUCAUGCAUAUUAUUUCUGGUCAGGUGCUCUGUAGUUGGGAAAUUUAUCUUCUUGAUAGUAUGUAAGUUCUUUCAUACUGUCUCCAUCCCGUUCUGCAUUAUUCUCCUAUUUCUUGUCUAACGUUCUGCAUUAUUCUCCUAUUUCUUGUCUAACUUUAGAUUUAGAAUGGUCAUUCGGUGCACCUUAUAUGUAAGAUACUUCUUCACGCUUAUAAUUGUUAUCUCAUCAAGAGGAAAGUUUGUAUGCUUAUUGAUCCUGCAAGAAAGAUUUCUCUCCUGGAGAUUUUCGCAUCUGAAAUUAGUGUGAAUAGUAUUGUUGAAAAUUUGGAAUUUUGUUGCAAGUUAAGAUUGAAGGUGUUGAAGGUGUGUUUCCUUCAAUGAAGUUGGCUUUCUUAAUUUUCAUAGCAUUCAUUGAAUCCAUAUCCAAAUGUCAUGUAAAUUAUAUGUUAUUUCUUAAAAAGCCAUAUUCAUAUAAUACAGAGUAAGUUACAAUGAAUUUCUUUUCUGUUGUCUGAGAUUAAAGGAAGCAGAAAAGAUAUCUCAGUGGUGGCAACUAGGUAAAAAAAUAACUAUUCAGAGAUAUAGUAAGGAAACUAUUCGCUUUGAUCAAGUAUUCCUGCUCUAAGUAAAGUGUCUUUCAACAUAAUGCUAGGACAAAGUUACUGUUGGCGAAGNUUUCUUUUCUGUUGUCUGAGAUUAAAGGAAGCAGAAAAGAUAUCUCAGUGGUGGCAACUAGGUAAAAAAAUAACUAUUCAGAGUGGUGGCAACUAGGUAAAAUAACUAUUCAGUGUUAUAAACAUCUUUCGUAAAUUCUUUCACAAGUUCUUAUACAGUUGAGUAUCUCGACCAACUGUUAGUGUUUACAUGCAAAUCAUAUGGACUCUUUCAUGCAAAACUGAUAUAAGCACCUACAUGCCAUUGGAAACAAUUCAAAACAUAUUUCUUUUUGUGUACAUGUUGCAAAUUUGCAAUACAUGGAUAUAGUAAGGAAACUAUUCGCUUUGAUCAAGUAUUCCUGCUCUAAGUAAAGUGUCUUUCAACAUAAUGCUAGGACAAAGUUACUAUUGGCGAAGGUUAAAGAAAAUCAGGAAGUGAAUAUUUUGGUGAUUCUAUAACAUAAGUGGCCUUUGUUGUAUCUGCUUGCAGUGGAUGACUUUCAUUGAGGUUAGGGUUAACAAUAUCCGAAGUAUCUUCUAUGUUUUUUUUCUGUCUUUUUGUUCCUUUCAUUAAUGUGACCAAUAUUGGCCCUGAGAAUGACAGGGCAAGUACCUCAAAUUUUAAAAUUUCCUUGCACUAGGUAAAGGUAACAUCUUUUUCAGGCUCUUCUUUUGGUUUGUUCUUCUAUAUUCUACAUGCUCGCUGUUUCUUUCUUUUUCUUUUUUCUUUUUUUCUUUUACGGAGAAUGACUUUAGGUCAUGUUUCAAGGUGUCGAUAAGAUUGCGCUGAGAGUAUGGGGGUUCAGUCCUUUCUGGUCUAUUCUAAGUUCUUUCAGGAGGCUCUGUUUUGCUUUAGCUUGUAGUCCUUUUUAUUGUUACCUAAUUUUUAUGUUGUGCUUUCUUUGGUAGCAAUGUAGGUUCUUGUAUAUUCAGAAGAAAAGGUUUGGUUAAGCAUUUCCUCCAUCGAUAGCAAGGAUCAAUAGCUUCAUAACUGUCUGAUACCUUUAUAGUGUGCAGUGACUAUCCGAGUUCUUCUCUAGUUGGGGUGGCUUGAUAAGAUGGAGGCCAUUCUAGCACGCAUCAUUCACCUUCUUGUGGCUUGUUGAUCUAGAUGUCGUGCUUAACAACAACUUGGUUGUUCCCUCAAAUUGAUAUCUAUACUUAUUGCUUUCUUCGUGGCUUUAUCGUUUGUGUUCCUGUAUACUUUGUUGUUUUCAGGUAAAAUGUAAGUGUAGUCCCUGAGCCAUCCUGAUAUUGUGACUUCUCCGUAUUUUUUCACUGAAAAGUUGUCCUCAAACUUUCACAUGCAUUGCAUUUAUUAGAAAUGUCUUCUAUUAUAAAGUGCGACCCUUUAACCCAUUUGAAGUACAAUGAAAUAAGCCAUUUUACAGGAGACGGGGUCUAUAGAAGAAUAGUUCUUUUCAUGUUCAAUUCCUGAAGUUCAAUACAUGUAGAAGUAUAAGGACCAAGUUCAGGCACUAAACUGCUCAAAUCAGAAGUACAGGGUGUCAGGGACCAAGUUGGAGUUUGAAAAUAGUGCAGGAGACUAUCUAUAUAUUUUACCCUAUAGUUAUUUUAGACUUAACUUUGUGCUCGUAAUAGUGAAGUUUUUCCAAAUUGUUGGUAUUAAUUUGUUCUACUGCAAUUCAAUAUCUUAUUUUCAAAGCUAAGCUAGACUUCUUAUGAUGAUUUUUCUGAUUUUCUAUUUUUGAAGGUACUACACCUACAUCUUGUUUCUCAUAAUAUGAUAUAAGUGAAAUUUUACUCUACAUAGUUGUAAUGACUUGCUCUUCUGUUUUGAAAUCCUGGUGAUUUAUUUUGUUAAUGUAUCCAAAUAUUCCUACAAUAGCUCUCUUUUGAAUUGCAUCGAUAAAUGUGCCAUCAGUAUGCAUUAUAAUUAUCAACUUUGAUCUAGUUGUAGAUCACUUAUUAAUCUGUUCACUUUUAAUAUGUCUGGAUCACCUUGCUGAUGUCUUCCUGUUGCUUAAUCAAUUUUCUUGCUAACCUUUUUACAUUUUGUAUUAACCGGUUUUCUCCAUAGCAUGUUAAAACAAACCUUUUGUUUUUUUCUUUGAUACUCUUGAUAUAUUAUGCUUGUAGUCUUGUUCAUUAUUUCUAUGUAUGAACCAACAAUUUUGAGGUGCAAGUGGAUUUAAAAGGAAGAAGAUUUACCUGAAUUACUUGUACAAAAUUACAAAUAUAGAAGCAUAGUUUCAGAACAUUCAUAAACUCUGUAGUUUUAGCAUGUCCCCUCAUCAUAUUCUGACUGACAAUAUCUCUUGCAGGUCUAAUUUUUGUUAUCAUUUAUUUUAUCUAAACAGCUGAGAUUAUACGCUCUCAAGUCUAUUAAUAGUUCUUCUUCCUGACAUUUUAGUAUGCAAUCAUGUCUAUAUUAUUCAGAAACAUGUAUGCAUGAUUGAUUUCGAGAUGUUUUCAACUUUAUGAGCACUUAAUAUCUCUUGCUAUCCAGAAUCUUUUUCUGUUAAAAUAUGGUGGGCAAAACCAUGAUUUUUAUGCAUUACUUCGAAAUUUUUAUGAUUGUGAUCUUUGAGUGAGUUAGUCUUUCUGUUUGAUCUUAUGCAUGGCAAAUGUCUGAUGAUACGUUAUAUUGUACGAGAUUAUUCUUUAGUUCUUUGUUGUUGCAUAGGAAAUCGAGUCAUUUUUAUCACUGCUGUAGGCCUUAUUGGGUAAACACGUCUGCUUUAUUUUUUUUAAUCAAGCUCUGUGCUUUAAUGGCCCUAUUGGUUUUGUUUGGCUCCUAAAGAUAAAAACUCAAUAUUAACUUUUUUUAACUCUAUAUUUUUCAAUUUAUGAAGGCACCAUCAUGCAUCCAGCUGGGUGCAUCACAAGCUAAUUAAUUAAAUCACGAAUAUAAGUCUGGUUGAUGGUGCAUUCUUCUAAAUAUAACUCUAGUUCUUCGAAACAAAUAAAAUGUAAGAAACACUUUAAUGUGUUUUCUUGGAUGUUUAUCAAUAUAAUUGUUGUUUCAAAUUUUUACUUUGAUUCUCAUUUUACUAGAAUCAUCUUGAUUCUUGUCCUGUAUUCUCAAGAUGAUUUUUUAUAUGAUCUGCCAGACCCUGUUGGUUACACUAGAUCUUGCAAGUGGUUGCAAUUUCAUCAAAGUUCGUGCAAUUUAUGUUAAAUUAGUUGGCAAGCCUUUAGAUGCAAUUAUUCAAAUUUUUAUUUUGAUUCUCAUUUUACUAGAAUCAUCUUGAUUCUUGUCCUGUAUUCUCAAGAUGAUUUUUUAUAUGAUCUGCCAGACCCUGUUGGUUACACUAGAUCUUGCAAGUGGUUGCAAUUUCAUCAAAGUUCGUGCAAUUUAUGUUAAAUUAGUUGGCAAGCCUUUAGAUGCAAUUUUAAACGAGUAUAACUUACGGCAGAUUACAACAAAAAGAAAUUCAAAUAAUCAUUAUUGGUGAUCAAUAUUGCUUUGCUGCUACAUGACGUUGCAUAUUGGAUUUAAAUCUAUGAAUUGAUACUUUCUUCAAGUACAAUAAUACUUGACUUAAAACUGUUAUUCAGGGAUCAGAAAGUUGUCAUGAAAUUUUAACCAUCAAAUUCACAAUAAUCACCAUGCAGUUGUAUGGAGUAGGUACAUUAAUAAGCAGGUCUUGCAUGUAAGAUAUUAACACAACGAAAUUUUAUAUAUAUAGAAUGAAGCUAGAAUACUUUUGAUAGUAAAGGAAUAGUAUUCACUACCUAUCUUUUAGCCUUUCGAUGCCUAGGGUUAGUGGUGGUAGAUGAAAUAGUGUUUAAUCUAAGGGUUAACAAGUUAAUAGUAAAUAAUAUUCCGUUACUAUUAAAAGUAUUCCAGGUGAACUAUAUAUAUAGAUAUUUAUUUAUUUAUUUAUAAUCUGACUAGAAUACUGUCGGAAGCAUUCUACUUCCAACCUCUUAGCUUUUGGAUGCCUUGGGUUUACUAUUUGGUUGUUGGAAUAGUAUAGAUUCAGGGGCCCAAAAGUUGAAAAUAGCUACGUCGAAAAGCAUUUUUAGCUUACCCCUAUAUAUAUAGGUCCAGUUGGAAUACUUUUGGAAGUAUCACUAUUCACUUGCCUCCAUCCUUUGUAGCCCUCGGAUGGUUUUAGUGGGGGUAGGUGGAGUAGGAGUAGAUCCAAAGGUGGAAAAGUAAGAAGUAUGUCUAUAGUAGUACUUUUAGAAGUAUUCUAGCUCAACUCUCUCUCUCUCUCUCUCUCUCUAUAUAUAUAUAUAUAGAGAGAGAGAGAGAGGGAGAGAGAGAGCAAGACUAUUUUACUCUUAUUAGUAUGAAGGCCUUCGUACUCAUUAGUCGUUUUCGAUGAUAGAGAUUUCAAAUCGACGAUCCGUACCAUUAAACAUGAUAUAGAGCAUUUAAAAUUUCUAGAAAAUAAAUUUCAUAAUUUUUUGAAAUUAUAAUAAUGUUCAUCAAGUUGGCAUAAAAUGACGGUCAAAAUCAAACCUCCUAAAAAUUGUCAAUUUUAAUAUCUUUUGAUCGUAAGGUAAAUAAUGUCUAAAAUUAUGAAACUUGGUUUCUGGAAAUUUGAAAUGCUCUAAAUCAUAUUUAACUAUAUGGAUUGUAUCAUCGAAAAUAAUUUAUUAGUAUGAAGGCGAUCGUACUUAUAAGGGUAUAGUAGCUGGACUCACAUAUGUAUAUAUAUAUAUAUAUAUAUAUAUAUAUAUAUAUAUAUAUAUAUAUUUAGAGAGAGAGAGAGAGAGUCCGGCAGUUAUGCUAUCGAUAGCACCAAGCACUUGGUGCUAUUAAGUUCUUUUUUUUUUUGAGAAAAGUGCUAUUAAGUUUUCUACCGUUAGAUUAAUCCCUUUGAUUAUUUUUACCAGUUAGAUUAUACUAUUCAACCAACCACCCACUCAACCCUAGGGGGCCCACAUCAUCCUAAUCGCAUAUUUCUCAAUCCAAGGGUUAAAAAUUCAAUAGCACCAAUAACUUGGUACUAUUGAUAGUAUUCCAGCCUAGUUCUCUCUCUCUCUCUCUCAGAGAGAGAGAGAGAGGAGAGAGAGAGAGAGAGUCCAGCUACUAUACUAUCGGUAGCAUGGAGGGCUCCGUGCUACCAAGUUGUUUUUGAUGAUGCGGCUUCCAAAUCGACGAUCGGCUCCGUUAGACUUGAUCUACACUAUUGAAAGUAUUUGGAAACUAAAUUUCAAAUUUUUUUGACAUCAUUUGACUAGUGAUCAAAAAAUCUCAAAAUUGAUAAUUUUAAUGGCCGAUGUGGUGUGUUUGUGAGUUUAACGGUGUAAAACAAUUCAAAUGCGAUGAAAAUUUUAUAGAAAUUUUUUUUCACUAUUUAGAGUAAGAUCAGUAUAUCUGAUCUUGAAUUAAAUCUUUUGUCAUCAUUUUUUAUGAGAUUUUUAUUUUCAGCCGUUCAAUUUUAGACUACUUGUUUGAUAGGUAAAUGAUAUAGAAAAAUUAUGAAAUUUAGUUUCUAAAUACUUUUAAUAGUGUAGAUCAAGUCUAACGGAGCCGAUCGUUGAUUUGGAAGCCGCAUCAUCAAAAACAACUUGGUAGCACGGAGCCCUUCGUGCUACCGAUAGUAUAGUAGCCUAGUUAUAUAUAUAUAUAUNUCGGUUUGAGAGAGAGAGAUAUAUAUAUAUAUAUUUAUAUAUCUUAUAUCGAUCUUAUGAAGGUCUUCAUACAACGAAGAUGAAAAACCCGGGAACGGAUCCCAAACUAUAAACCACCAAACCUUAUCAUACUUAGGAUUUAUCAAUGUUAUCCCGUCUAGUUCAGAUUGCCUUGACUAGCGGCUUAGCCUACAGGAUAAUAGCUUUUGUUGAAUAUUCGUGCCUCCGGAGGCAUGAAAGCUUUCGUAUCUUCGGAUCGAGAGAGAGAGAUAUAUAUAUCUUAUAUCGAUCUUAUGAAGGUCUUCAUACGACGAAGAUGAAAAACCCGGGAACGGAUCCCAAACUAUAAACCACCAAACCUUAUCAUACUUAGGAUUUAUCAAUGUUAUCCCGUCUAGUUCAGAUUGCCUUGACUAGCGGCUUAGCCUACAGGAUAAUAGCUUUUGUUGAAUAUUCGUGCCUCCGGAGGCAUGAAAGCUUUCGUAUCUUCGGAUCGAGAGAGAGAGAUAUAUAUAUCUUAUAUCGAUCUUAUGAAGGUCUUCAUACGACGAAGAUGAAAAACCCGGGAACGGAUCCCAAACUAUAAACCACCAAACCUUAUCAUACUUAGGAUUUAUCAAUGUUAUCCCGUCUAGUUCAGAUUGCCUUGACUAGCGGCUUAGCCUACAGGAUAAUAGCUUUUGUUGAAUAUUCGUGCCUCCGGAGGCAUGAAAGCUUUCGUAUCUUCGGAUCGAGAGAGAGAGAUAUGAGUAUACACAUAUCUCGGGAAAUAUGAGUAUUUAAAAGCCGGCAAAUCUACUUUUUUUACACGCCAAUCCUACUCUCACCAAUGCCAAUCCAACUAUCACUCGGGGGAUCCCAACUCACCCAUCAACCAAUUUAUGAUAUUAGAUUGCCCACUUUUACUAACUUCCCAUCUAGAUUGCCGGUUUUUAAAUACUCAUGUGUGUGCUUUUAGAAGCACGGAAUCUCAUAAAAAGUGAUGUUAUGACAGUAAAAUUUUAGAUCAAAGAUAUUGAUUUUGUUUUAUAUAGUAUAAAGAAUCGUCCAUUAAAAUUUCAAAUGAUUUGGAUAUUUCUAUGUUGUUAAACUUGCAAAUGGCUCACCAGGACCAUUAAAAUUGAUGAUUUUAGGCCUAUUCGGCCACUAAGUAAAUGAUAUCGAAAAUUUAUAAAAUUUAUUUUCUAGGUAUUUAAAAUACUCUAGAUCCAUUGUAACGGAGCUGAUCAUCGAUUCGAAAGUCCCAGCAUCGGAAAUGACUUGAUAGCACGGAGGCUAGGGUGCUUUUGAAAGCACACAAGUCUCUCUCUCUCUCUCUCUCUCUCUCUAUAUAUAUAUAUAUAUAUAUAUAUAUAUAUAUAUAUAUAUAUAUAUAUAUAUAUAUGAUGAAGAUGCUCUUGAACAGAGAUGAUCACGGGACAGGUUGUUUAUAGCAUCUAACUUUCAGGUCAAAUUGUUGCAUAAUAUGACAUCAUUCUUAUUGAACUUCUUCUUUCAUCUCUGGUACUCCUAUCUAAUUUUCUUCUGAUAGUACUACCGUAGAACAGUUUUUAACCCCCAUGUUCGGCCUGAAUGAUAUAAUCUUUAAAACCUGUUUGGAUGUUAAACUAAGUUAUCCAAUGAUAAGUUAUAUUCUUUACGGUUUUGCUAUUGUGAUUCUUCAUGCUCUGUGAUAAUCCUUGUCUCAAAUUUUAAGCAGUCAUCUUUACUAGGACUAGUAUGUUCAAAAGCCAAUCAAAUAAACUCAAUUGAAAGUUAGCCCUUUUAAAGAAUUCUUGCAUCACGAAUCAGGUAAAACUUUGUGGAUGCUUUGCACAGGUAUCUGAGAUUAGUGGAGUAUAGUGCUUGGUGACAUUCUCAAAUCCAAGUGACGCACCACAAAAAGGCAAGAGCACAACAGAUAACAGUAAACAGGUGCAAAGGUAAUUGAACUUUAUGCCACUGUAUGAUUUAUUUUUUAAGCCCUGUUUUUGUGACGUCAGAAGCCCUUCUACUAGUGCUUAUCGAUAUUCCACGGUUACAUAUAUUCUAUUUCUAUUGGUAGGGCCAACACCUGACUCAUCUCUUCUCUUUGUCAUCCUUUCAUAGGUCUAGCAUUCUUUUCAAAAAAAAAAAGUGUGGGGAACUUGGAAUAGUGUAGUAGAGAAUGAAUUAAGAGUAAGAAUGUGGCUAUCUAAUGGUCCCAAAUUCACCAUAAAGUAAUGGGAUUGUUAUUGUGGAGGACAUUUUGAUUAUCUGGAUGCUGAAAACCUUUGCUGCGUUGAUUGCCAAAAAGCCAAAAGUUGGUGGGGUAUCUAUACUGCCAACAUUAGGAGGACGAGAUGUCGCAUCUUGUCCUCUAGGCAUUCACCAAGUGCAUUAUUUGCACUCUUAAUGUGAAUCACUUAGGCCCAAAUCCUUCUUUGCAACUUAUAGCUAAUGCUAAAAUAACGGAUUGCCUUAUGUACCUCAAAGGGAAUUUAUGUGAUUUCUUGAUCAAACAAUGACAAUUUGGUCAUUUCAGUCUUAUCUCGCUGUUGCUAGAUUGGAUUGUUAUGGUCUGUGUACAUUGUUGAACUUUGGGUUUAAUUUUAUUUUUUAUAAUUUGAUACAUAAUAGUGAAUACCUACUUGGUUCUUGAAUGGUUUUAAGCGCAUGUUUACAUGUAAUUAUAUAUGGCACUUGGGAAUGUUAUCUAGUUUGGUGCUUAGCUAAUGUAGUUCAUGGUUGAGAUCAAAUUCACUAGUGUCUGGAAUUCUCAUGGUAGGUUUCUUAAUGUUUACAUGUGGCUGAGGCUAAAUUUCUAUUGUGCAAUUUUUUAAGUUUCUCGCCUCUAGUAUUCCCCUUCGCUCAGACAUAAGCAAAAGGUUUCUACCCAUAAGUAGCUACAGUUCAAAUGAUAGAAAAUGGCUGAAAGAAGCUUUUUGCCACUAUUACCAUUUUGUUUUUUCAUAGGUUUUCUGUAAAAUGUUCAACCAAAUUAAUAGUCUUGGUCAUGCAAUUUUGCUUGUUGGAAGACCAAAUAAGUUCUAAAUAUUCCGAAGAGAAGAAAAGAACUUGAUUGGUAGGUUUGAUUUAGUCGGCACAGAUGAAGGAAAUGACCAAUAAUGGACACUUAUGCUCUGAGGCUGCAGUACUCGGACACUAGCUUCGUGUGGCACUUAUUUCUAUGUGGCAUAUCUCAGAUCUAUAGUUCGAAUAGUGAAAAAUGAGUGAUUAACAAAGCCCUUUGAAUAAUAUAGUCAUCAAGAGAUUUUAUUAGUUCAUCAAAAAUUAGCGUAAAUUACCCUUUGAUAUAAUUGGUUUGUGCAAAGAUGGAUGGAUAGACAUCAAAAUUUUAUGGAAGGGACCGUAGAACUUUUUAACACAAAUUGCACAAACAAACACUUAGAGCUGUAUAUAUGUGAAGGUCCUACGUUCACUUCCACUCAAGUUGUGGUUUAAUUUGCAUCAAACUCUUGCCUUUUUUUAAAAAACUUUUUUAGCGAUAUGCUUCUUCAUCUAGAGGUUUUCGUAGUCUGCGUGUUAUUCAGUUAAACUUGACACAGAGAACUGCACAAUGCAAAAUUACUGCUAUUUUGUAUAUAUUUGUGUUAGAUAUUCCUAACAAAUAAUUUGUAUAAUAGUGCAUGGAUUCAAUAAUAUACUAUAAAUUAUUUCAGUUCAAUAAUUUUCAAAGUGGCAUGGUAUAAUUGUAAGAAAAUUACUAAUUUGCACCUCUAUAUUACUUUCAGGAAGAAUGUUAACCUUGAUAACUUAACAUCUGAAGUUGUUUCUGCAGAUAUGUUCUAUAUUUAUGCAAGAUUGCCAAAGAGAUAUUACCACGUCUCCACCUUUUGCUUGUUUUAUUUGAUUACAUUUUACAUUAAUUAUUUGAGAUAAAACUGUUGUGUCUAUUGUUAGAAUUGUCACUUUGACCUGAUACCCAGUCUUCAAACCAUACCCCAAACAAGCCCUGAUGUAGAGCCUGUAUGUGUGCCCGUGGUCUCUAUAAGGAAGAGUCUAAGAUAAGGCCCAUAUUUGAUGUUACUAGUUUAUCUUAUACCAUUUUUGUAAUAAAUAUCUGAACUUUAAUGAUUUUGGUUCCAUUACCUAACUUCAGAGAUUGUGGGAAAAAAAUUUAGCAGUAGACUUUAAUUUUUAAAGUUAAAGCACCUAGUUGGAAGUGUUGUAGGAUUAGAUAGCAAAAUCGGGACUUUUAUCAAUCAAACCUAUAUAAAAGUGUGUUGCAUUAAGCCUGUGUUCUUUUUUUACCUGAAUAUUCAAUAGGUCUGUAUUGGUGCUUUAUAAAUGUAUUUUUUUGUCAUUUAUCUUAAUUAUCUUUUUGAUAAGUUUUGUACUGCUGUUUUUUAAGUUUAAUUUUUGUUGUUUAUCUUGUUUAAUUUAUACAAUAUUCUCUUCUUUUCCAUUCAGCCAUUCAGCAUUUUCAUUAGUUAUUGCAAUAUUUAGAACCUUUGUUUUGGACUAAUUAUCUCAAUAUGAAGAUGGUAUAGGCCCUCAUUUCGAUUUUAAGGUAAUGAUAUCCCUCAAAUCAAUCAUAUCGACUAAUUGAUUGUUUUACAUUCGUCAUGAGGCCGUAUUAGGUUACAACCCGACAUGCAAUUGACUUUGUCGGUUUAUAUGGCCUGGAUCCAAAAUGAUCUGGAACACCAAGUGGAUAUGGUGUAGGUAGAGAUGUCAACGGGUCGGAUUCGGAGCGAAUUUUUAAAAACUCGAACCCGAACCCGGCUCCAAACUUGAGACCCAAAUCCGAACCCGAAUCCGAAAAUUCAAAACCGAAACAAUUAUUUCUUUUUUCAAUAUUUCAAAAUAUAUUAUAUUAAAUCUAAAUUUUUAAAAUACAAAAUCAAAUAUAACAUCAAAUAUAUAUAUAUAUAUAUAUAUAUAUAUAUAUAUAUAUAUUAUAUAAUACAAAAUAAGUUCGGGUCGGGUUCAGGUUCGGGUUCGGAUCAGGUACAAUCAAAAUUUAUAUUCGAAUUCAUAUCCGUCGGGUUUUUAUUUUUUAUAUUCAUAUCUGAAUUCAUAUUCAUAUCCAUCGGAUAUAUCCGUUUCAUUCGGGUUCGGGUUCGAAUAAAAUUAUAGAUAAUCAUACCCAUUGACAUCCCUAGGUGUAGGUUUGAUAUUUUACCUAUUGUUUUAUUGGAUCCAAAAUCACUUAAGAGGUGAACUUUAGUCAUAAGCCAUAUGCAUAUUGUUGGUUUAUUUUGAUUUUGGUGCUGCGGCCAGGUGGAUAUUGUGUUUUGUGGUCCUCUUCAGCCUCUCUUGCUUUCUGGACGUGCUAUUUGGAUUGGGGUUUUAGCAGAAUCCUCAACAUUCCGUUAGUAAUUUAGUAAUUUUUUACUAUAGUUAUCGACUGUUUCUAGUGCAAGUGGUAAAGGGUUUGGUGGUUGGUUUAUAUUUUCAACUAAAUUUAUUUUUAAAUAAAGUAAAUAAAGCGGGUAGUAUGUUAUUUAUUUCUCAAAGAAAAAAAUUCUACUACGGUUAGAAGUAGAAGCUUCAAAAUGAAGCUUUUACUUAAGACUAAUAAACUAGGCUUUUGCUCCAAGAAGAUUAUGAUGUGUGUUAUGAAAUGCUUGGUGGGUGCUUCUCUAGAAGAGAAGCUUCUUAAGAAACGUACCAUGGAGAAUGAUUUUUAGAGCUUUGCUUUUCUCAUUUUUCGGAAUAUCUAAGAGGUUUCGUAAGACCUCAGUUCGUACAGAAGCUGUGAAAACAGUAUUUACUUUUGCAUUAUUAUAUUCCUCAUAUUCUGUAAUUGAAAACUAAUUCAAGUCAUUAUAUAUAAUAUUUAUUUUUUAUUACAACUUAGUUUAACAUAGAUUACAAAUUAGUUUAAUUAGAAUGUAAUUAGAUAUGUAGGCAAGGCAAUUAAACAAAUGCAAUCAAACUUGUUACAUUUUUAAAUUUAAUAGUUAAUUUAGCGAAUAUCUCUUGGUCAAAAUGCUAACUAGGUGUUGUAGACUAUAAUUUUAGCUAUGCUGAAAUUAAGAGUCUGUUUGGUUCAAUAUGAAAGUGUGAAAAAUAAUUUUUUAUAAAAAAAAUUUUAGGUGGAAAUAAAAUUUUACUUUUUGUAGUGUUUAGUUUGAACUAAAAAAAAAGUAAUUUUUCAUUAAUGUUUGUUUGGUUGAAAAAAAAAAUCAUAUUUGUUAAGUUUGGUGAGAAAAAAAUAAAAUAAAAAAGUUUUGUGUAGUUUGAGUUUUUAUUUUUCACUAAAAAUAAGUGAAAAAUAAAAAUUUCAAUUUUUAUCGAAUUAAAUAAGUAGAGAAGUAUUUUUUAUAUUAAAAAUAAUUUUGAACGGUUCAUUUUACACUGAACCCUCCCAAAGGAAAACAUGUCUUUUUGGAGAAAGGCAGCUAUUGUGAGAGGUCUCGUGCCCGUGCACGAGUUCGUUUGUCAAAAAAUAUCCCUUCUAGGGGCAAGUGUUCUUGAAUAACAUUUCUAGAAGUUGAAUACCAAGGUCAAGCAAAUAUUGGUAUAAAAAUCACUCUGCUAUUGUUAUUUAGUUUUUUAUCUGAUAUUUUUUAUUAUGAUUUUGUAUUAUUGGUGUGAUACAUUCAAAUGACAGUAACACCGGAGAGAAGACUUGUUUGACCAAAACUUUUUCUUUUUUAUUGAAUAUUUUAUACUUAUUAAUGGGGCUAUUUAUUAUUUUAUUAAGGUACCAUUUGGUUUGGGUAUAAGCAAUAAUUAGCUAUUACAGGAAUAGGUACAAGUAUGGGGAUAAGCAAAAUAGUGUUUGGAUGAAAAUCGGGUUGUUCCCGUGGAUAAGAAAAAUAGCGUUUGGAUAUAUAAUAUGGAAUAAGAAAAAUAGUGGGUAGUUAUAUAUAGAAAAUAGAGGUGUUGGUGGGGUUAAUAAUGUCAGCUUAUUUUAGAUAUCCGAGAAUUACUAUUUUCGGAUAAAAAAUUUGCGUUUGGGUGUGUUUGGAUAUAAAGAGGGGGAUAAGGGGUUAUCCCUCCCCUUAUCCCCAAUCCAAAUACUGCCUAAUAUGGAACGGUGUUUAAUAUUUUCUUUUUCGUACUGAGAUGAUUUUUAAAAAUGUUCUUUGUUUAUAUGUUAUUGGUAUUCUGCUAUUUAUAACAUAAUACAACAGUAAAUAGAAGACACCUACUUGUGAGGGUAUAAAAAAUAUGUCGCCACAGAGAAAUGUUAGUUGUACAUGUAAAAUGAGGUUAAAAAACUAAAAAAUUUAGAACUUUUUUUUAUAUUUUUUAAUAUUAAAAGGAGGAUCGCAAAACUACUAUUGAAAUAUUGGUUUUUGGUUGAAUGAAGUGUAAGAGUCAUAUUUUUUUUUUUUAAUGUCUUGGGUGUGCAUUCAGUAGGGGCGGCGCUACAGCUCGUUGUUUGCUAGACAAUACGUGUUCGGCUUGAAAUGAAUGCGAGAUCGAACGCUCGUUUAGUAAAUAAGUUGUAUAUAUACUUAAUUUUUUAGCUUGUUUAAUGAAUGAAUCGAAUACAAGUUGGGGUCAACUCGUAUUUGGUUUGAUAAUAGUUCGAAUACGUAUAUUUUAUAUUUAUAUAAUUUAUAUAUUUUUAAUUUAAAUAUAUAAAUAAGUAAUUUUAUAUNAUAUAUAUAUAUAUAUAUAUAUAUAUAUAAAUAUAUAUAUAUAUAUAUAUAUAUAUAUAUAUAUAUAUAUUAUUUAAUUUUUAGUCCAACAUAAAUAUAAAAUCUAUCUUAAUUAUAAAAAAUUUAUUUAUAUGUAAAAUUUUUAACCAUUAAAUUAAAGUCUAAUGAAUAUAAUUUUAUAAAUUUAUCUUAUUUAUAUAUAUUCUUUUUAAUUAUUUUAGCUUAUUGUUUGUGAGCCGGUUAAUGUUCGACUUGUUAAUAAACAAGUUGAACAUGAGCUGAAUUUUUCGGCUCAAUAUUUUAGUAUGUUAGCUCGAGUUCGGCUCGUUUAUGGACGAGUCGAUUCCAACUCGCUUGUGUUCGGCUCAUUGACACCCCUAUCUUUCGCUAUGCUUUUAAUACUAGUGUAUUAAGUAGAGCUGGGUACAGAAAAAUAGGCUUUUUCAACUUUUAAUCGUUCUCACUGUUAUUAUAAAUCAACUAACUUAGUAUAUAUUUUUUAGAGCCUUAUAUUUUUUUUUAAAAAAAAAAUAUAAUUUACAUUAUAUAAUUAAAUUUUAAAUAUUAAUAAGUUAUCUUAAGAUAGGUACGAUAAAUAUAAAUAAACAAAUCAUCAUCAAUCAACAUGAAAUUCUGGGAAGGAAAUGAAAGUGGAAGAGGGGGGAACAAAGGGCCGACAGGGCUGAGUAAGCCUGGGUAUAGUGGGGGUCCUGACGAUUGACGUCAUCAUCUGCUUAAAAUAGUCCGUCCUGGCUGUCAACUUAUCGUUUCUCUAUUUCUUUUUCCCAGCGAGGGGGCGGAGAGCGCAAAAAAAAUGCACAAGCAUGGCUUCCCCAUAAAUAACGAAGGACAAAACGCGGCCCCCCCAAAUAAUUGACGCCACCCCCGCAUAAUUGCUUAGCGACGAUCCCCACAAACGCACACGCACGUACACGCGCACCCACACCCACACCCACGCCCAUCCGUAUGUGUAUGUGAACCACAUCGAGUGACCGGCGAUGAGCGCGGCCACCGCUUAUCGCCGGUCACCUGAUCGCUCCGCGAUUUUCUCGCGGGACGCGAUCUCGCGCUCCGCUUGUUGGCCUGCGAACCUGGAAAGAGCCUUUUUGUGCAACUGAGAUCGAUGAGAUCUAAUCUAUAUAUAUAUAUAUAUAUUCCACGCACGAAUCUUAUUCAAGUCGCGCAGGUGGUACAAAUCUAGUAAGCGGACGCUGAGUAGAAGCUUUGAUCUAUGUACUUUUCUUGUUAUUCCGCGUAGUGAUAUUUGAUUGGCAUUAGUGGUUCUACUUAUUGCUAAAUAGAUGUUUAAUUUGGUCUAUGUAAUAGAAUAUUUAUUAUACAGAAUACCUUUUCUGUGUAUGUACUAGUGCUACAGUUGGUGUAUCCGUCGUGUAUUUUUUGUAUGCCCCCACAUUUUACAUUCGUACUAUAUCAUCUAUGAACUUUUGUUAUUCGGUAUAAUGCUGAUAUUUGAUUGGCAUUAGUGGUUCUAUAUGAAGUAUUUAUUGCUGGACAGAUGUUUUGGUCUAUGUACCUUUGUCCUUAUGUAUGGUGAUACUUAAUUGGCAUUAGUGGUUCCAUAUGGAAUAUUUAUUGUAGAGAAUACUUUUCUGUUCAUGUACUAGUGCUAUGUAGUGAUUGAUAUUUGCUACGAUUAGUGUGUCCGUGUAUUUUGUAUGCCCCACAGUUUAGUCUAUUGUUUGUACCAUAUCAUACUUUUACAUUCACCGGACAAAGGUACUUUUUAACUUUUUAAGAUAUCAGUAUGUUAGACACACAUUAUAUCAUCGACGAAGCAAAAUCUUUGAAGCGCGACUUUAAGGGAGGGCUUCUCGACGAGUAUUCCAUAUUAAACGUUUAUUUUAAUCUAAAAGUUCUUCAUCUGAAUAUUAAUACCAUAUUGAACAGAGGAUUUAAAAGAGGUCGAAUAAAUUUGAAUGAGGAUCUCCUCAUUCAUAUUUUUUUUCCCCACAUUUUGUGAAUGUUUCGAAUUGAAGAAUUAGUUGAUAUGAAUGAUUUAUGUGGGGGCAAUGGUUUCUCUCCUGCUUUAAGCAUACUAGGAAAUUCUUGCAUUACAGUAUAUGUGGUGAUUUUUGUGGGUGGGUUGAGUUGAUCUGUAUGUGUUUUUUUUUUUUUUUUUUUAUUUGCGAGGCAACAUGUUAUCGGUUUCGUUUUUUUUUUUUAAUAAAUAAACUUAACUGGAAAUGUGAAAUAAAUGAAAUGUACGAAUUGGUGGGCUGUACACAAAGUUUGAUGGCUUUAUUCAUUGAGAAGGCCUAUUCGUGGAGCCCAUCUGGAAAUAAGCACUUAGGGCUAUUUACAUCUAUUGCUGUCGCAAAAUUAUUUGAAUGAUCAUCAUAUGGAUUAAAUAGGAAACAGUACUUCUUUCCAGCAAUAAUGGUUGUCUAUGUGACAUAAUUUCUACUUUUAUUUUAUUCCUUAGUACUUUUAUAGUGCUUCAUAAAGUUACCAUUAAUGGAGAAUUUGAAAGACACAGCUGGGUUUAUAUGAGUAGGUGUGAAACAUAAGUUUACUUCCCAGUUGAUUCUAUAAGAAAGUUUUAUUUUCUCUUCAUGUGAUAUGUGAGUUUAAAUAGAGAGGGGAUUUUUCUAGCCCUUCUUAUCUGGUUUUCACCAUGUAAUAUAUGAGUCUUAGGCUUCAUCUGGAAUUGCAGAGAGAUUGCGUUCGUGCGGUGAGAAAUCGCGAUGAAAAAAUAUCCUAUUUGUUUUUGUACGUAAUAUUGCGUUAUGUUGCGGUUAGUCGGUUACGAUAUAUUUUCUACAGUCCCAUCAAAGAACGCAGAAGCAUAUCCCUAUAUAUUUUUUCUCAACUCCAUUCUAUCUAACAAUGUUAAAUAGAUCUCAAUACCAAACUAAGCCUUAAUAAUUUUUUUGGUUUCGCGUAUUUACCAUUUUGCAUGGGAAUUUAUAAUUACAUGAUACUGUAAUUUCGUACCUAAAAUUGGAAUUUCGAGUUCAAAGUCUUGAGAUCAAUCAACCAAGUCAUAUCCAUCACUCAACUACCUCAUAUUCAUAUGAUAAUAAUUCAUUAUCAAGUGAAUUAUUUAUUGAAUUUCUAUCUUUCCUUGUCUCAGAGCUGACAAAAGAUAUAAUGACUACAUAAGAUUUUUCUAUUCCAAUUUAUUCUUGGUACUGUACAUAUAUAUAUAUAUAUAUUUAUUAAUCAAAUAAUUGAUGAAUUAUUUUCGAUUUUUUUUAAAAUAAUUCCCCUUGGUACCAACUUUACCUAAUGAUCCAGAGAGGGCCUGGAGUAACAAAAAUAGAAAAAGAAAUGUAUUAGAGACAGAGAGAGAGAUACAGUAGAGUCCAACAACUGCUGACUCACGGAUCCCUAUGCCGUGUGUAUACUUUCAAAUUUUUUUUAAAUAUAUUAAUUAUAUUACUGAUGUGAUGUGAUGUUUUAAUCAAAAUAAUUGUUCAUUUUAAAUUCACUAUUUUAUUAUAAUUAAUAAAAAAAUAUUUUUUUAAAAAUUAUAUAAUUAAUUUAUCUUUGAUCGUGUGGUGUAAAUGCCACGCCACAUAUAUUUUGUUGUAUAUACUUCCACCCCUCUUAUUUUCUGUUCGCUUCUGCAACCACGGGUGGGUCCCUCUGUGCGCCCAUCUUUUCUUGUCCCAGUGGUCCCCACCCCCCACGCCCACCGUUCCAUCACCGCCACGUCACACCCUGAACUUCUCGGAAAAAAGAAAAAAUUAGAAUGUGGAAGUUGCAAUACAGGUUUUAUAUUUCAACCAAUUAAAUUAUUUGUUAGAAACUCAAUUAUUUUAUUAUAGUUUCAGAAAAAAAAAAAUGCAAUUGGUUGUAUACUGUGGGGCCCGCUAGAGCUAGAAAAAAAACAUGAAAAAAUUUUAAAUAUCAUUUUCUGUGGUUUCGUAUUUUCUCACUUUAGUACCUUAAUUAUAGUUUAAGGUGUAUCACUUUCGUGUACUGUGGUUUUAUUUUUUUUCUUUUCUUAUCAAUUAUAUGUAGAGUAUCUGAGGUUUUUUUUGUAUAUGAUUUAACAAAACGUUAACGGAGAGGUUGAUAAGAAAAAAAAAAACCACAAGAUACAAAAUUGAUACACUUUAAAUCGCAGGAUACUGAAGCGAGAAAGUGCGAAAAUCACAUAGGUAGUAUUUGAACUUUGUCCUAAAAAAACUUUUAAAAAAACUGUGGCCUGUGGGCCUGCCACCACCCGUUUUUGGUGGGCCCCGCUCUAUUCUCCCCGUCGCCCUCAUCCAACUCAGUCCGGGCCCACCUCAAUGAUUCGCCCAUCUCGGCUCACUCUCUAAGUCCGCUAUCGCGGGGGCCCACAAACCCACCCCACCACAAACGCGAGGGGACCACCGAUCAAUUCCCCAACAGAAACCCCCAUUCUCGUGGCCCAGCGAUUUCCGGCCGUCCGAUCAAAAUCCGAAGGACGAGAGCGAACAUCUCCUCCGCUCAACCGCACCGACCGUUCGAUCCAAACCCGACGGCGCGAUGGACGUCUCGGCGGUUCCGCUCCUCGCCCAAAAACUCCGCGGUUUCUCGUCCGUAGGAUCGGAUUCUCCCGCUCUCUCUCUCUCUCUCUCACCGGCUACACCCGGUACGACGACUUCCCCAAAGCAGCGCCCAGAGACUUGGGAAAAAUAAAAAUAUAAAAAUAAAAAAAGUAAGCCUUUCCUAAAGAAAAUAUAUAAUAAAAAUUAAAAAUAAAAUUAGAUUCUAUGGUUGCGCCGUGAGUGUAAGCGACCUGCGACCUAAUCUCCCCUCUUUAAUUUGCUGAGGAUACGAAUAGUGAAUAGAAACUCCGGCAAUUUAUUAAAUGUAAGUUUCACUAACAACAUAGGAUCAAACAGUGCCUCUCUGUUUUUAUUUUGAGGUCGAAGCUAUUCUCUGCAGUUCCCCAAAAAUGAAUAAAGAGGUUUGAUUGUGCUCUCUGAGAUUUACCAGUCAAACUUUGAACGCCAGCUGCAGACUCAGAGAGGUUAGAAGCUCCCACUGGGGUCAAGAUGUGUUUUCACUUGAACAGAGCACAAUUUUGGCUUCAACUAUUACAAGUCGAAUGAAUGAAGUAGGAGAUUGGAUAAUACACAAACCAAAAUAGUGGUAAAAUUGGAGAGAGAGAGAGAGAGAGAGAGAGAUAGAGAGAAGUAAAUACUUUUGUUUUCUAUAAAGGUUUAUGUGUUAUAUUUGUUAGUAAGUUGCUACAUGACACUAAUAAAAGAUAAAAUAAAAAUGAUAAACUUUUUCUGUACCAAUUUUUUUUAAAUGCUUAAUCUAACAAAGAUAUUUCUAUGAAUGUGCCCUCCUAUAUUUUUGAACUCAAAUAGAGGUAACUACCCUUUGGAAAAUUCUAAAUUUGGAAAAAAAAAAUCUUUCAAAAGAUGCUAGAAAAAUUCAAACAAAAAUAAAUUAUAUAUAAAAAAAAUAAUAAAAGGAAAGCGAGGUUGACGUGGACGUAAGGUUACAGAGAUUCUAGCGAACGGCUUAGAUUCCUCCUCGUCUCUUUUAUCUCCCCCUUCCUCUCCUCUCUUUCCAAAUCCUCUCUCCGUCCAUUUCUUUUCUUUACCUUUCUAGUCAUGCCCUUUCUCCCGUCCCUCCCCUCACUAGUUUCCGAUAUCUCUCUCUAAACUUUUCUAAUCUUAGAAAAAUAUAGUAAUAGCAGAAGAAGCGGGAGAAAGAGAGAAAAAAGAGAGAGCGAGAGAGAUGUCGUUGGGGAAGAGGCCGAGGCCGUCGAUGUCGAUGAUGAGGCGGACGGCGAGCCUGACGGAGUUCGCGCCGGAGUUCCUCGCCGACGGUAGUGAGUCCCAGCCGCGGCCCAAUCAGGAAGCGACGCCCCACCCCCACCCCCACCCCCACCACUCCCGGGAGCGGGCGCGGUCCGAGGCAGCUGCGGCGCCGGCGGGGGCGCAUCGGGCGUACGGCGGGGCGGGGGCCGNCCUCCCGUCCCCCCGCCGCUCCGCCGCCGCCGGAAACCGCCGGAGCUCCGCCGACUUCGCCGCCGUCGAGACGGCCCCCUUCUUGCGCGCCUGCGGCCUCUGCAGGCGCCGCCUCGCCCCCGGCCGCGACAUCUUCAUGUACAGGUAAUAAUAUAUAUGUAUAUAUAUAUCAAUCCCUCCCUCUCUCUCUCUCUCUCUCUCUCUCUCUUUUGAUGAUUUUGGGAUCGGAUGAAAUUUUAGCUAACUUAACUCCGCUGCGGUACUUCACUUAUGGUUUCGUUUCGUCUUCGAUCAUCGGAGAUGGGUGUUGUUUGCUCGCUUGCUUGUUCGUCACCAUGAUUUUAUACGACCGAUCGUAGCUUCAGAUCGCUCUUCCUUAAUUUCGCUAUUAAAUCAGGUUUUCAUGCAACUUCUUGAUUUUCCUGGCGUCUUCUUCUUCUGAUGCCACACACCUUAAUUUAAUUAGCAACACGCCUCUCUCUUGCUUCUGCAUACUUUUUGAUUUAUUCUUCCGCAAAAGAAGCUACUGAUCGUGUGAGAAACGAUUCGUUUGUUUCAGUCCCUCCUCAUGCACGUGAAUAUCUAAUACAAGGCACAACUUAAUUCUCCUCCUACAUACACUAACCUAGCACAGUUCCUAAUAUUAUAUAUAUAUAGAUAUAGAUAUAUAUAUAUCUAUGCCGUAUAACCUUAUACAGAUGGAUCCUUUCGGUUUCAUGGAAUCAGAACUAAUCAUAGUUCCCAAUAUUAUCUACGUUAAGACUAUUUCUGAAUCAUUUUUCGUCAUCGGAAAGUAUUAAUUUGUUCGUGGAUUGGGAUGAUGAUCUAAGAUUAACUAUUGACGCUUGGCUUUUGUUUUGUGUUCUUAUUACGGUUUCUGUUUCGACUUUCGGCGGGCAGGGGCGACAUUGCGUUCUGCAGCCUGGAGUGUCGGCAGCAGCAGAUCAAUCAAGACGAGCGGAAAGAGAAGUGCUCUCUGACCUCCAUGAAGGAGGCCCCGCCGUCGACCAACGGCUCCGAGCAAUCCAGCAACGGCGAGACCGUCGCGGCCGCCUAGCUAGUUAGAUUCGUCCGCGGCCGCGAUAAACCUUUUUCCCUCUAUAGAAAUACCUCCCUCGAUCUCCUUAAUUGGCUGCAGCCUCCUGCGAAAAAUAUUAUAUAGCUGUUAUUUCGCCAUAAGGCGAAGCAAAAUUAGAUGAUGUUUUCUGGGUUGUAUGGAUCUCCAUCCAUUUUGCUGCACCUCAGUGCAUGUUAUUAGAAGCCUUACUACCGCGUAUAAUUUUCUCUGAUGCUUUUAGUAAUCUCCCAAAUUAAUUAAUCCUUUUGUUUUAGCUCUCUUUAAUUUUUUCUGGGUGGCUCUAUACUAAUGCGAAGGAAUGGAACAACCUAGGGUUCCAUUGUGGGCCCAAUUACUAUCUCUUUCAUAUGAGUCAGGUGAUUCCCCCAUCCUUUUCUUGUGAUUCGUACUAGUCUAUGCCUUUGAAAAGUGAGACUAAACAGUGGGGGUGGUGACGAAGAGAGGUUAAAAACAUGAAUGGUUAAUUGGUCCUUUGGUCAUUAUUAUUAUUAUUAUUAUUAUUAUUAUUAUUGUUAUUAUAUAUAGAGCAUUAAAUUGGUAGAGGUUUGUGAUCACAUAAAUUCGUAAGGAGAAGAAUGUGAUCGAUCGCUAUUUUCAACCUGGCGCUCUCAUCCACGAAAUAAAGGCCCGUUUGAUUCAUCGAAAUUGGCCGACUUUUCGUAAUUGGAGUUGGAGUUCGUUCGUCCGUGUUUGGAUGAUAUCUCUGAGCUCGACUUCCGUUGAGCCUGCGAUGCUCUCGUGCGCGAAUCCGUCUCUCACAUGAUGAUGGCGAGGCCGCGUAUAGCAUGAAACCGUGACUUUGUUCGCAACGAGCGCAAAGUUGAGCUCCUCUGUAUUGUAUGGACGGAACUCGCAGAGUUUGUUGGGAUGUAGUUCGAUUUCACAUACCAAACAUGCUCUAAUUGUUAGAAAAGGAGCGAAAGAGAGAUUUCCUUUCGUGAGAUGAUUCAGAAUGUAUGUGCUAUAUACAAUAUACAAAAAAAAAAAUAUUUUAUUUAUUUUUAUUUUAAAAAAAUUUGUUGUGCUUUUUGUAAAAAAUACUUUGUUAUGUAGAUUGUAGCAUUAAUUUCAUCCCAUCAGAAAACGGAGACUCAUAACUUUUGUUUUUUUAACUCCAUAAUAUUAGAUGGCACUCAAUAUAAAAGGGAGUCUUAAUUAGGUUCGGGCUUCAAGUAUUAUUAUUAUAUAGUUUCUAAUUUUACUUCCCAAUUUUAUAAUAUAAUAUAUUUGAUCUAACAACUUUUUGUUAGGCAUAAACCGUGUUUUUAACUGAUCUAACGAGAUAUUAAUUGCGAUGAAGUUUAAUUAUACAAAAACUUUGAAAGAUCAGAUAAUUAAAUCAAAACGCAAUCUACAGUAGCCAAGUUGUGUAAAUUUUUUGUAACUUAUUAAAAAAAUAUGUAAUUUGCAAAUUUGGGGACCGGACUAGGUUGCACUGUGUUACAUAAAUUCCCAUGCACGGACGCUCGCCGUCGCCAGGUUCGCACGUGCGGGAGGGUCCCAUGCAGUAAAAAAAAAAAGUUUGAGUGAAGUGUUCGUGUGCUGGAGAUUGUAGAUCCCAAGGCACAAAAAAAAAAGGAAGAAGGUAAGAAAACUUAUAUCGUGCAAUUAAGAGAUCUUUUUUAAGAUGCGUGUAGACCACAAUACUGGAAAAGAUUAGCACGUUAUCGCUUCGUUUAUUUCAUUUAAAAAUAAACUUAGCUGAAAAUGUGAAUCAAUUAGAACUUGAAUUUGGGACCUCGGAUAUCAAUCACCAUGCCUUUUGACAUUUGCUCUAGGGACGGUCGGUAAUAUUGCACAUAUAUUGAUCACUCAAAGCAAAGUUUUACACAACAGUAGUAAGCAGCAAAAAUAAACUAAGAAAUACUUAAUAAGAUUUUUAUUAUUUUUUUUCACACUAAUGUCCUCCCUUAUUAAGGCUUUGUUUGGUAUGGAAAUCUAUUUAACGCUAUUAGAUAAAAUAGAGUUGAGAAAAAAGCAUAUAGGGAUUUGCUUCUACUUUUUCCGGUGGAACUGCAGAAAAUAUAUCGUAACCGACUCAUCGCAAUAUGCGAAGCGCAAUAUUACCUACGGAAACAAAUAUAUUUUUCCAACGUACUUUCUCACCGCACGUAACGCAAUCUCUCUGCCAUCUCAAACGAAGUUUUUUUUUAAAAAAAAAAAACAAAAAAAUAAAAUAAAAUCUUAUUUUUCUGCGCUCCUUUUUUUCUAUCUUCUUUUUAGGAGCGAAAAUGGCUCCUAACAUUUAUACCCAAACAAAGCUCUCUUUAUUUUAAUCUUCCCUUCAAAUUAAAGAAUCUGAAUAUAAUUAACCAAAUUAUCGAAAAAUGUUUUAACUAUUUCUUUGUUAGGGGAAUGUGAUUUAAAUUUAAUUUUAAUUACAUAGCUAAAUAUAAUUAUUUCAUAAUUUCAGAUAAACUUAUUUCUUAAAAAGAAAAAAAAUAAAAAUAAAUAGCAUACUACCUUUCUCUCUCUAAGNAUAUAUAUAUAUAUAUAUAGUUAAGUUGGAAUGCUAUCAGUAGCAAAUGGACUCUAUUGUCACAUAUUUAUUUUCGAUGAUAGAGCCUCCAAAUCACCGAUCGGUAUCAUUGAACAUAAUUUAUACCACUUAAAUGAUCUAAAAAUUAAAUUUCAUGCUUUUUCGAAAUUGUUCUAUUCUCAAUCAAGUGGACACAAAAAUGAAUGACUAAAAAUAAAUAUCAUUUAAAAAAUAAUGAUAAAAAUUUUGUAAUCAAGAUCAAGAGUAUAGUUCAUGUUUAAAAUAGUUUUUUAAAAAAAUUUAACUAAAAUUCAAUUGAUUUGAAUAUCUUUAUACCGUUAAACAAAAAACGUCUUAUAUUGAUCAUUAGACCAAUAAUAUUAAUAAGAUUUAAAAUUUAGUGUUUAGGUAUUUCAAGUGGUAUAGAUCAUUUUCGGCGGUGCCGAUUGUCGAUUUAGAGGCAACAUUAUUGAAAACAAAUAGAUGGUAAUUACUGAUAGUAUUCCAACUUAACUCUAGAUAUUUUAUAUAUAUAUAUAUAUAUAUAUAUAUAUAUAAAAUUACAUGCAGCUAAAUAAUAUCUAUUAUAUAUAUAUAUAUAAUUACAUACAACUAAAUAAUUUCUAAUAAGAGAGAGAGAGAGACGAGGGACCUGUAGCUUUAUUAGAGCCUGUCAUUUGCCCAGGUGGGCCCAUUGGAAAGAUGCAUUUGCACCCACCCACACCCCAAGCCCUUUAUAUAUGACCGUCCAUUUCUCCCCACCGCGACGUGUCGCUCUCUCAGUCCUUCUCAUAUUCGCUGUGUGACGUAGAUCGCGGGAUAGAAUAUUUUAGGGGAAACUUCAAAUACCCCAUAUAGUUUCGUAUUUUUUGACUUUUCUACUUGUGGUUUAAAGUAUAUUAAGUUAAUACCCUAUAAUUUCACACUUUCUUAUUUUAGUAUCAUGUUGUUUCAAGUGUAUCAAGUUAGUAUCCUGUGAUUUUAAUUUUUUUUCUUUUAUUAUCCAUUUCGGGACAUAUAAUUUAACGAAAUAUUAAACCACAGAGUACUAAAGUGAGAAAGUGCGAAAUCACAGAAUACUAACUUGAUACACUUGAAACCAAAGGGUACUAAAGUGAGAAAGUGUGAAAUUAUAGGGUAUUAACUUGAUACACUUUAAACCAGAGGGUAUUAAAAUGAGAAAGUGCGAAACUACAGGGGGUAUUUAAAGUUUUUCUAUAUAUAUAUAUAUAUAUAUAUAUAUAUAUAUAUAUAUAUAUAUAUAUAUAUAUAUAUAUUUAUCACUAUAGAUGUAGCAAAGUAAUUAUAUAUGCGAUAUGAUUGUAUAGUCUCCAUCUGCGGUGAGGAUGAUAUAUAGAAACAAUGUUAGUCCCAAGUAAACAACGCACAUCUAUUCUUACCGACCGUUAUUCUUACCGACCGUCUCUAGAGCAGGUGGCAAAGGACUUGUUGGUUGGUACUCGAGACCCAAGUUCGAAUCCUAGUUGAUUCGCAUUUCCAGCUAAGUUUAUUUCUAAAUGAAAUAAACGAAACGGAUAGCGUGCUACCUAUCUCUUUCAGAAAAAAAAAAAAAAUUCUAUUCUUAGAAGUUGUUUAUUUUCCGAGCAAGUCAUUGUGGUUGGAGGAAUUAACUUAAUUGAUUAUGUACAACUUAAAGUUUUAAAAAGAUUAUAACUUGCUAAUCGAAAUGAUUAAAAUAAAAAAGAAUCACUAAUUGUAUCUAACACAACUGGCUAAGAAUUUAAGAGAAGAGGGUUCGUGCCUCGCAUGUUGGACCAGGUUCAUGCAAUAAUUCAAAUUGUAAAGAAUAUAUUAUGAAGAUAAAUAAGUAAUGAAGAGUUUCCUUUAAAUUAAUUAAGUGACCAAACACUUUCUAAUUUAUUUAGUUUAGUUAAAUCCAAAAUGGGCUCACCUGGUCGAAUCUAUUCUCGUGUUCUAUGAACCAAUCCACUUUCGUAACGUAUCCAUAAAAAUAUUAAUCCUAGAUGAGGUGAAACCUCUUAUAAUAAAAUGCUGUAGAAUCUAUGCAAACUAUGUUGGAGAUCUGCGCCGAGUUAUAUAAAUAUACUAAGAAGGAUUAUAUUUACAUUUUUGGGCAAAGUGUAACAGCUUCGAUCAGGUGGACAACUGGGAGAAGAGGGGGACCGGGAAUUAAGUGGGGUUAAUGGAAUAAUUGGGGUUCUUCCAAAUGCAUUUGUUUUUAUUUUUUGUUUAUUAUUAUUAUUAUUAUUAUUAUUAUUAUUUUUUUUUUUUUUCUCUUUGUCCACCCACCCACAUAUAAAACAUAUUCCCCAUAGAGAAAAGUGGUGGGAGUUGCCUUACAUUUAGGCCAUGUUUGGAUGCAUAGUUAAAAAAUUCCGUGAAAUUUUUAUUCUAUGGUUUUGAUCUAAAUGAAAUACGAAAUUCUGUAACUACAAAAAAAUUCCACAGCUUCAUUUUUAAGCUGUUUGGAUACAGAUCAUACAAUUCCACAGUAUUUAUAACAAUUAAAUAUCUAAAAUUUUAAAAUUUAAAAUUCAAAAUUCAAAAUUUAAAAAUAAAAUUUUUAAAAAUUAAAAUUCAAAAUUCAAAAUAUAAAAUUAAAUUUUAAAAUUUAAAAUUAAAAAGUAAAUUAGAUUUUAUGUUUUAAAUUUGAAAUUUGAAAUUUGGAAUUUGAAAUUUAAAAUUUAAAAUUUGAAACUUUAAAUUUUAAAAUUUAAAGUAUACCAUUUAAACUUUAAAAUUUGAAAUUUAAAAAAUAUAUAAUUAAAAUUUUAAAUUUUAAAUUUAAUAAUUUAUAAAUUUACAUAUUUAUAAAUUUAAAAUUUAAAAUUUAAGUUUAAAUUAAAAUUUUAAAAAUUGAAAAUUAAAAAUUAAAAAUUAAAUUAAAAUUUGAAAUUUGGAAAUUUGAACUUUUUGAAGUUUGAAAUUUGAAAGUUAAAAUUUGAACUUUUUGAAAUUGAAAUUUGAAAGUUGAAUUUGAAAGUUGAAUUGGAAAGAUGAAAUUUUAAAUUUUUAAUUUUAAAUUUUAAAUUUAAAACGUUUUUGAAAUUUGAAAUUUCAAAUUUGAAAUUUGAAAGUUGAAAUUUGAAAUUUAAAGUUUGAAAUUUGAAAUUUGAACUUUUUGAAAUUUGAAAUUUGAAAUUUGAAAUUUGAAAGUUGAAAUUUGAAAUUUGAAAUUUGAAUUUGAUAUUUGAACUUUUUAAAAUUUAAAAUUUAAAAUUUAAAAUUUGAAAUUUAAAAUCAAAAUUAAAAUUGAAUUUUAGAAAUUUAAAAUUUAGAAAUUGAUACAUCUUUGGGAGCCUAAAAUGGUGGAAUUUUUUUUUUUGGUUAAAGUGGAUUGUAAGUUUACUCCAUUUUUUGGAGUAUAGUAUAACUAUACUCCAAAAAUUACGUUAUUUUUUUUUUCUUCCAAACGCUUCAUAGGAUUAUUUUCCUACUAGCGUAGCAUAGUUUAACUAUGCUACGUUUUUAGAGAUAUCCAAACGGGGCCUUAGGGUGCAUUUGAUUCGCGCUAUUUUUUAAAGAUUUCUAAUAAUCCAAUAGAAAUAAAAAAAUAUGACGGUGUUUGGCUAAACGCAGUAAGUAGUCUAGUUGGUAAUAUUGGAUUCACUUGAAAUAAGAUUCAUCCCAAAGUACUAAUCUCAUUCCUUGAGGAAUGGUGGGUAUCUUCAUAUUAAUAGAUUAGAAUAAUCAAUCAUAAUAUGUCUACUCUCUUUCUUUCUCCCUACCCGCCGGCUAAUUGAUAUCAUUUUUCUUUACACUCUAACCUCGUAUCUUUUUCUAAACUUAUCUUUCUCUCUAAAAUUCAACUUUUUUUUUCUCUCUCUAAACUAAGCUUUCUCUCUCUCUCUUUCUAGAAUCUCAACUCUCUUACUUUCUCUAAUUUCGACACUAUUUCUCUUUCUAUUUUUUUAAUUAUGCUCCCUCUUCCUUUUUUUCUAAAAAGAUGUUGAAACUUUUGGUAGCAUUAUCUAAAAUUAAUUAAAAAAAAUAAAUAAAUAGUAUAUUUUUUGUAAUAUUAAAUAACAUGGCUAAAUAAUAUUACCGUGCGAACCAAACACAGGAAUUUCACAUUCUUAGUAAUAGAAUGAAUAGGAAUAAGAUUCUCGGACAUCUUUUCAUUCCUAGUAAUAUUUCAUAAUGCGAACCACCCUUAAGGCAUUAAAAGAAAAGGGUAAUGUUCUAUACUAUAUAAGAUAGAGUGUAAUAUAUAAGAUAGAGUGGUGUAAUAUAUAAGAUAGAGUGGAAUUGGGUGAUCAAGUGGUUAUUCUAAAAGUAAAAGGGUGAAUUGUGGGAAUAGU